rnacentral:lncRNA from 1 species
AGAAUUGAAGAAAUGGUUAAAUCAAGAAGUCAAUCAUACUUCGUUCCAAAACAAGUCUUAGAGUUAAGAUUGUGAAAUUGAGUGAUAAGUAUUAAGAAGGUUUAUAACAUUCAUCAAAUUUGGAAAGUUGUGAUGUCUUGGAUAAGACAAAGACCAACUAGGACCAAUUUAUGAAGUGUUUGAUAAAAACUACACUAACUCUUGAAUAUUUGUUUGUCAAGAAAUGUUUAUUGACAAGAGAAUCUUAUAUGACAAGGAGUAAGUGGGAGUCUUAAUGGUCUUGAAAGGUUUCAAGAACAAAUCAAAUUAGCCUUAUCGAUCAUCACUAGCACACGAGUUGAGGUUUACAACCUAUCGUGUUGACAUUAUUUUGUUUCUGUGCCAAUCCAAUCGAGUUAAUUAUGCAUGUGAGUCCUAUGAGUUCUCAUUUGAAUGCAUAAAAGGCAAGGACCUUGAUCAAUGGAAAGUACAUUGAUAAGAAAAGGUGAGCUGCUUAACUACUUGGAAGACAUGGUGGGCAGCUGUGCUACCAUAAGGCAAGAAAUCAAGAUUAAGGAAGUUCGGUCCAUAUGAGUUUGAAUUUGUCGUAAACUUUGGUUUUGACAAAUUCACAUGGAUAGGAACACAUACGCCGUUUAAAUCUAAGUGUCAUAAGAAUUCCUCCUUCAUGAAAAUGAUUGUGAGGAAAUGCUUUCACUAAGAAAGAUUUUAAGAAGAUAGUGAUUGUAAAAUUGCAUUCUCGAAUUCGAUUAUGGUUACGGUAUCGCUUUCCAUAAUUUGAGUUGUGAGGUUUGGCAAUUAGUCUUAAUUGUUUAGACGCACAUAUAAACUAAGGCAAAGGUGUAUAAGUUCAAGAAACCUUGAUAAAAGAUUAUCAAAGCACUAAGUAUUAGUCACAUGAAAUUAAGAAAUUCAAUAAGUAUUGUUUGUCUGAAAGUUAAGAUGUUUCUAAAGACAUGUCAAAGCUAGUGGGAGUAUAAGUGUUAUGUUUAUAAUAAUCAUCAUGAUAGUGGGAGCAUAAAAGUUAUGAUUGUAUGAUUAUUAUGGAAAGUAUUGCAAAGUUAGCAAUAUUAAUUAUAGAAAACAAGAGUCAUACUUUGCAAAGUUGUAAGAGUUGAAAGGUUGUUUUGCUAUAAUUAAGGGAGAGAAUAUUAUGCUUCAAUCAAAAUCUAAAGGCUUAGGUUGUGGAAUGUUAAUAACUUAGUCAAAGAAACAUAGUGUGUUCUUAAAAUUUUGAUUAUGAUUACAACAUUCCUCUUCACAAUUCGAAUUUUGAGAACAUAGCAAAUAAAACAUUAAGGUAGAAGAUUAAUGAAGUAUCAAAUCUUUAUGUAAGACAUUUUGCAUCAUGUCCCAUACGCUUUGGGUAUUGGAUCGAUUGAAAAUGCUAUAAUAUUUGACCAUUCUAAAAUUUUCCAAAUGUCUAGCGCAUUCAGAGGGAAAAAGGACAAGAAUUGGUUUUGACUAAAAUAAUUUAACAACUAUCAAAGGACAAUCCAAAGUUCGCUGAGGAUUGGUCGCUUGUGAGUAGUUAGAAGUAUAGUAUUGGAAGAUAUAGAAAUGUUUCCAUAUUAGAUGGACCAUAUCGACAUUUUUAUGAAUAGAUAAGAUUCUAUUAAGAAUUAGUUGUCAUAUGGAAAAUAUGGAAGUGUGUCCAUAUUGGGAAUUUAAUAUUGAAAAUCUAUGUCUAGAUUAGCAGCUUUUAUGCAAAAGGAUGUCAAAGGAAUGUACUUUGAGUGAGAGACAUCAUAUAUAAGGAAUUGUCUUGUAACAAUAUCCGAUAGAGGACUUUAUAAUUUCAUUGGCAAUAGUCUUUUUGACUUUGGUGCAGUGACAUUACGAAAGGAUCGUUGCAUAGAAUGUUAGAAUCUAGCAUAUUCUAUAAGUAGCAAGAAUUUGAUAUUCUUUCGCUUAUGAAAAAGGAUUUGGAGUUGUGAAAUGAGAAUGAUUGGAAAUGUGCUCAAUUUGGUCUAUUUCACAAAGUAAGAACCAUAGGUAAACAUUGUGUGCAUGCUAAGAGCAUGGGACAAGUGUAAUAAUUCAAGUAAGAAGUUGAUUACCCGAAACGACAAAUAAUGAGUAAUCGAUAUGGUGAUAAAUAAAAGGUGUUUUAUUUAUACUCAAAGGUUUGAGGCCAUAUGGGAUUAGUAUUAUUCUUGUGUUUCACAUUUGCAUGUUUUGACUUCCAGAAUAAUUGAAUUUAUUAAGAAUAAUCGAAUUAUUCGAACGGGCCACAGUCGUUCAUAUGUUGGAAGUAGAUAUGAAUGAAGACUGUCGUGAAUUGGUGUGUGGAUUGUCUAAAGAGUAUUAGACAUAAGCAAAUGUUUGCUGCAACGUUCAUGAGUGCUUAUGAAUAUGAUUUGAGCAUUGGAUUAAACCCACGCUCACUUGGAUCACUCCAUGAAUUGUAUCACGAGUGAUUGGUGAGACGAUAACAUCUUAUAUUCUUGAAACCGAGAUGUGUGAGUUGUAUCUUGCAAAUCGGUUGCACAUUGAUAAUAUGUAAACGCACUAGUAACUUGGUGUUAUAAAACAUAUUGUUGUGUGUGAUUCGGUGAGUGAGUGCAAGCAAGCAUUGUAUCAAAGUUUAUCCGUUCCUUUUAUCCAAAGUAGGAUAAAAGCGAUAUCUUUGGGCCCCUCGAUGAUUUAGUGAUGACAAACGUAAAUGCUCGGCCGGGCUAGGGCUAAUUUGAUUUGUUCAAUUAGUCAGUCGUCAUAAAUCGGGAAUCGAGAUAUAGUACAAAGAGAAUGAUUUGAAAUCAUAUCUCAUAUGAUAUCUAGAAUGGAGGAAUAUAUGAUCCCUUAUCUAAAGGACACGCGUAUCUGAUAGGAUCAGAGUUGACAGCGGCUUUGGAAAGCUACGAUUGCAGAUCAGGAUCUGAAGUCAUACGCAGAAUAGUUAUUAGACUUAUCCAAGUGGGAGACUGUUGGAUUAGUGUCUAAGUCCAUAACUAUUUUGGUAUGUACUUGACCCGAUGGUGCAUGGUCCUUUUGGGUUGCCUUCACCAAAGCAACUUGAUAGGAUGAAUUAUGGAGAGAAAGGAUUAAAUAUGAUUUAUUAAUAUAUUAUGGGAAUAAUAUAUUAAAGAAGAAAUCAUAUUGUUUAAUUAAUAUUAGUCAAUAAUUAAUUGGUAAUUAGUUUUGUGACUAAAAGAGAUUAAUUAAACUUAAGGGACUGGAAUUGUAAUUAUAAGAUAAUUGCAAUUGGGCCAUGGAUUGCCUUGUAUUAAGGAGUCAACGAAUUCUAUGGGGAAGCCCAUAUGGAAAUCGUCAAAGGCCUUAAGGAAAGGGGUCCAUGGGUUGCUUAGGGCUUAACCAUCCAAUUUAGGGUUUCCUUGUUAGAUAACCCUAAUAGCCUCCUAUAUAUAUAGAUCCCUUAUGACCCAAAAACGUGGCUAAGCAUUCUUCUAGGGUUUCACACAUUUUGGGGCAGCCUCCAUCCUCUCUCUUCUUCAUCCUCUUGCUUAUGGUGUUUAUGAACCAUUAGAGGAGUGACAUUUGUGACUCUAAGCUUUCUAAAGUCAAUACAAGGAGGAAUUGGAUUGUUAUUGCUACAUAACAAUCAAGGUAUGAUCUUAAACCUAUUCUCAUGUUAAUAUGAUUACUUGAAUGCUUGAAUUAGGGUUUAUAGUCUUGGAUAACUUGCAUGUACAAUAGAGAAACCUAUAUCCAAGCAUUAGGGUUUGUAUGAGCACAUAGGAUGUUCUUAGGACCAAAACCCAUCACUAAACUCAUAAUAUGAACACCAACUUAAGCUGUUGUAAAACAAGGCAUUGGUUUGACAUCGGUGAACCAACAUUAGAUAAUUGAUCUGAUAGCAUCUUCAAGGCUUGGCAGUAGGCAGAGCAAUAUGGAAAAUUGGCAAGCUUUGUUGUAACCAAUUUGUGUUCAAGGUAGAGAGCAUGUUCAUUUUGAUUGUCUUGAAAAAUAUUUUCAAGAGCUUUCCAUGCGUGGGCCACCAAGGAAUUUGGUUUGAGAAUGGUGUGAAGAAGAUAGUUUGAAAUAGUGCUAUAGAUUCACUAUAAAACUAUGGUGCCAAGAUGUUUCCACAGUUCUUUAUCGAUGGGUUUAGGAGCCUCUUUCCCGUCGGCUGCAGCAGGAGUAGGGGAGUUGGUCAUUGGUUGAAUGUGAUCGAGAACUUGGAAGGCACGACAAUGUAUUUUAAAUAAUUUGACCGGGUGCCACUCUCCAUCUCCAGGGGGGCGGUAAGGGGGAUGAAGUUUAUGAUGUUAGUGAUCAUCAUAGUUGGAUGAAGUUUUUCUGCCAUAGGAGAAGAUAAGAGAAGGAGAGAAUCAUUGGUUAAGAAGAGAGGGGAGGGAAAAAUAACGGCAACGACAUUAGGUCAGGUAUGUCAGGUAUGUCGCUCUGAUACCAAAAAAGAAGCUUGCGACUUCUGUGGCCCCUAUUGAAACAGAUCCAAACAUAUAUAAGGUGGGUAGCCGUAGACUAUUUUGGACAUAUUUAUAAAAGCUACCUUUACAAAUACAAAGAUAAUGUUGGCUACCCUAUAAAUGAUAAUAAUAAUAUAACCGACUAAUAAUUACAAUGCACUCCAUAAUUUCCACUAACAUUUCAUCCUUAAUUUCCCAAUUUAUUAUCAAAUUAUUAUUCGUCUACCCCCAAGACCAAAAAUACUACGACCAUAUGUGGCACUCAUCAAGUCUAAGACGAGAGGGAACUGCAGGGUGACAAAAGAAGUGAUUGGUAGGCAUGUCAAGACAGCUAUUGGAAUAAGAAUCCUCCAGUUUCUUUGGCCGAACACAAGGUACAAUGUUGCACCAAAAGCUACUAUCAUGGCUGUUGUUGAGACGAACAAGGUGGCCAAACCAAUUAUCAACUUUGUAGGCAACUUGAAGAGAAAGUCUUGCUCAGCAAAACAUGCGGUAAGAAUCGACAAAAACAUUAACAAUGACGUAACAGCUGCAAAUAAUGAUAUGGCAUCUGAUAUUGCAAAUAUUAUGAAGGCGGUGUUGUUGGUAAAAGUUGGUAUCCCGGUGUCUUGAUUGCUUCCUCCUGGCACUGUAAUUGCUGCUGCAAACACAAUGGUGAUGAUUAAUGCAGCUGUAAUCGUGUAGGACUCUGCAGUGGACUUCAUCCAUUUUUCUCCCUCAAUCACCAACUCCAUGUGUUCUCUAGUAAAUACCAUUUGUGGUGUUUCGUUUAAAGAGUUCUUUUGUUUGAUGCUUAGAGGACAAAUGAAUUUUUCCACUUCCUACAAGAUUACAUUAUGUUAAUUGUUACACAUGCUUGAUAAAUACUUAUGGUCUUUAGAUUCAUACCUUAAACCAUUGUAGUUCGUGUUGUAUCUGUAAAGCUGCCCCCGAUAUAAGAUUUAAUUUGUUGGAUGGAGCCAAUCUUGCAGCUAGAUGCAACAGGUUAUUCCGUGAAGAGUCUUCGAGUGUCCGGUAUAUAUUCUUAUGUUCGCUCAUCUGAUAAAGUAGGUUGUAAACCUUUUCUGAACGAUUUAUUGCAGCAUACAGAAUAAAGUUGUGCCCAUCUUCAUUAGCACACCAAAUUGCAUUUGGGAACCAAGUCACAAUUUCCUCUACAACCUCAUAUGCAUUUAGUCUUGUGGCUUCAAGAAUAGGAGUUGUAUAAUAGUUAUGGUAACAGCUGGAGUGAUUUGUUCGCCUUAUCAACUCACAUACUUCCUCCAACAGUCUCAUAGCAUCAUCAUGAGUUCGAACUCUCUCUUUAAUGAAUGGAGGCACUGCAACAUAGACCCCAAUGAGCAUCUCAAAUAAUGAAAUAGACCUUUUUUUUUCUCUCUUUGCUUUUAGUAAUACAAUGACAGUUGUUGUUGAUCAUCUUACCGAACAUGUUAAGAACCUUCAUGAAAAGCCAAAUGAUGAAGCCAGUCACUGCAUUAUGGGAUGAAAUGUUAAUUUAUAAUAGAAUGUGCCACCAACAACUUUAAAGUUUAAGAAAAGAAAAACUCCUGACCUACCGCAAAUGAAUGGGAGGAUUAUCAAAAUCAAAACCCAUGGAGGAAAACCGUCUGCUCUCUCAAGUAAUUCUUCAGUCCCUUCAAUAUAAAAAGUGGUGUGCAGGAAGUUUGGUAGAGAAGCGUUAUAAAUGAUUUGACAAUGUAAACAAACAGACAGAUCCAUUAAGAUAGAAAAACAACGAACCUGUAUAUCUUUCAAAAUCUUUGACUUUGCUUGGGAAAUUUUCAGCUAUAGACAUCAGCACAGCAUCACUAUGCAAUGUUUUGUAAUGCUUCAACAGUUUUCUUGCAAAGUCUACAUAUAUUACAAAGUCAGCCGUAUCAAUUAACUGGGCAGAUUUUUUACUACCGGAAUUUGAGUCCAGUCCACACUUACGGAAAUCUUUGGAGGAGAUAACAGUAACUAGAAGGCCAUCGCCAGUUGUGCCAGAAAACAGAGCAUCCUUCUGAGUAUCAUCAGUAUUAUUGAUGUGUUGCAGCAGAUGUCGGGCUGUAUCUGUGUGCAUAUUAGAAAGAGCCAAGGCUAGUGGUGUCAGAUCCUUUUUGUCUUUGGCCAACAACAACUCUGGGUUUCUUGCCACCAAUAUGCCAACAGCUUCUGUGUUGCCAAUAAUAGCAGCAACAUGAAGUGGUGUGCUUCCAUCUGAAUUUCUUAGAUCCAUGAGUUGUGUGUUCUCCGGUAUCUUUUCCAACAAUUUCUCUAGGAAUUCCAGCUUCUUGGAAGUACCGACUGCUACAUGAAGCGCAGUGUUGCCAUUAUUCGUUAUUUUGUCUAUCACUGUAACCCUUCCAUCCCACAAUAUUUCUUCGACCCAGUGCCAAAUUCCAUGUCGAGUAGAAUGGUACAAUCUCUGGAGAGCCAAUACUCUGUCUUGAUCUUGUAGUGUAUCUAUAUUUGCAUAAAUUUUUUGUGAAGGUAAAAAACUACAAGAUACAAAAUAUGUGAUCUGAUAUAGUGGAAUGUAAUCUAAACGUUAGGAAUUUUGAAGGAUGAUGAAAAAAACACCUUGUUUGUAUGUACAAUUUUAUCCGUUUUGUAUACUUUGUAUCUUGUUUAAACAAGUGCUAUAUACAUAUUUUACUGUAUAAGUAGUGGUAUCCUUAUCUAAAUCACCAACCCAAACAAACGAUCGAUUAGCAAACAAGAGCUGGAUUGUACCUUCAACAACAUGCAGUUUUGGAACAACAGCAGGAGCAUACAUAGUCUGUAGUUCAUCCCAAACAUCUUUUGCACUGAAAUCAUCUUGAUGGAGUUUUCCUGUGAGACGAUUCACAAUAUACACAAGUGUUUCUUUAGACAGGGAACCAAGAAUCCAACCCUUCACCAGGGAAUCUGAUCUUCUCCACAGCUUCUGAUGAGUCUGAUGGUCAACCACUUUCUCUUUCCCGGAAACACUACUACUACUACUGGCUUCAUCAGGGCUUACGAGUGUUCCAUCUAUGAAACCUGACACACUAUGACUCUCUAACAGGCAUAACAUCUGUGUUUUCCAAACACCAUACUCAUCCCUAUCACUCAGCUUAAAUGUAACAAAAUGGGGAGCACAAACAUGUGAUGGGUAUGUGUAUGGGUUUUCUUCUCUAACUUCCAAUGUGACAUGUGGAUUAGAGCUAGACCUUGAGUUUGCCAUCUUUGUUUUUUUUUUUUAAGUCCUCUUGCUUCCAUCUGUUAAUUAUUUAAAUAGAAACAUGGAGUGGAUUUGUGGUGCCCACAAAAGCCACUUAAAGGAUUGAAUCCUCCCCAAGUAAUUAUUCCCUCAGAUAGUAAAAUUUCAAGCAAAGAAUAGANUAUAUAUAUAUAUAUAUAUAACUUAUUUAUCAAAAUAUAAUAGAUACAUAACAAAUGAAAAAACAAGUGAAACCUAUCUUUCCGUAUGCUUCCCUUCAAUCACCAGUCUAUUUUCUUAGUCCUUCAUACAUUCAUAGGCAAAGAGAAUCAUAACAAGAACUCUUUAUAUUGUAAGGAACAUAUUUGAUUUUUUGGUUGUAGAAGCCCUUUGGUUAUUGUCGAUUAUUUAAAUGGACAAAAAUUAGACACUAGAUCAACCCAAAAUAAGUAGUUAACUAUAGAUAUAAAAAAUUUAGAUACAUCCUUCGUCUAAUAAAGAAAUUACUAUUCUAAAAUAAUAUUGGCCACUUAUUAGUUAUAUACUAGUUGUAAGAUCCAUGUAUUACAUAAGUUAAUUUUAAAAAUUAAAAAAUUAAAAAAAGAAAAAAUAAAGUUAAAUAUAAAGGUCAAUAUAUAAAAACUUUGAAUUUAUAAGAAAAUAAGAAAAAUAUUGAAUUAUUAUAAUAGAAAUGGGUUUUAUUUUUUUAAAUUUAAACAAAUAAAUAAAAGAAAAUAAUAAACUUUAAAUUUGAGAAUUCUGAAAUUAAACGGAAAUUAAAAGGUAAGUUAAUUAAUGAAACUAAUAUCCAUUUGUUACUACAUUUAUUGUAAUUAUUAUAUUAAAUUAUUAUGUGGAAUUUAAUAAAAUAAAAAACUCUUAAAAUGACAUGUGGAAAAAAAAUAAUUUAAAAUAACCAUAAAAUGACAUUUGAUAAAUUGAAUAAGAGUGUGACAAGUGACAAAAAAAACAUUUAUUUAUUAGAGAGAAUUUCAAAUAUCAUUUAUUACUAUUGGCAUCUUUGUAAGUAACUGCAUGUGCAUUUUUUUUUUUUUUUGGCAUUUCCCUUUCACCAUGUUACACACGAUGCUGGACUUCAACCAAAGCAGAUUGUUUUAAGAUAUAUGAGCAUGAGAAAAAAACACUGAAAGCUCUUACAAAAGCGGCCUCAAAAAUCAGUUUAACCACUGAUUGUUGGAAGUCAUCUCAUCAGAAGAUUAAGUACAUGGUUAUCACAGGGCACUUUAUUGAUCAUAAUUGGAGGUUUGAUUUCUUUUUCUAUUUUUUAAUAAGACAUGUCCAUUUUAUUUAAUAUAUUCAUAUUGGUAUCUGGACUUGUUUUUUGUAGAUUACAAAAACAUGUCUUGAGUUUUGUACAUAUUCCUCCUCCUCGUACCGGACUUGAUAUUGCUGAUGGUAUUUAUAAAUGUUUGAAGCAUUGGGAAAUUGAGGACAAGAUAUUCACGAUAUCUAUAGACAAUGCUGCAUAUAAUGAUAGGGCGUUGAGAAGACUGAAAGAAAUUUUUUCUAGAGUGAGAAAACUCACGUGUGGUCGGAGGUUGUUUCAUGUUAGAUGUUGUGCACAUGUUUUGAAUCUUCUUGUGAAAGAUGGUCUUGCUAUGAUUGAUUCUGUUAUCAGGGAAGUUCGUGAGGGUAUCAAAUAUAUUAACAAUUCUGAGGCGAGACUUCAAACAUUUUCAAAUAUUGCACAUCAACUACAAAUACAAGAUAGAAAGUUGUUGCUUGAUGUUCCAACACGAUGGAAUUCAACCUAUGAUAUGUUGUCGGUUGCAUUAAAAUUUAAAGAUGUUUUCCCAAGGUACACAUUAGAUUUUAAUAAAAUAGUUUUGAAUGUUGUGAUUUUCAGAUUUUCAAAUACUGCACAUCAUUAAGUUUUUGUGAUUUUCAUAGAUUUGUGGAGUACGAGCCACAUUUCCAUCACCUGCCUNCACCUGCCUAUGAUGAGGAGUGGGUGCAUGUGGAGAGUGUAUGUGAAAUCUUGAAGGUUUUCAAGGUGCAUAUUACCUUUAUUUAAGUAUUAUUUUAAAUAUUUUAUAAUUCCUAAUACUAAAGCAACUUAUUUUCAGGUAUGCACAAAUGUCAUUUCUGGAAGUGAUUAUCCAACAUCCAAUCUGUAUUUGAUUGAGGUGUUUAUAGUAAAAGAAACUUUGGAUAAAGGUGCUCUAUCAAAAAAUGAUUUUAUUAAGACUAUGGUGACUAAGAUGAAGGAGAAGUUUGACAAAUAUUGGGGGGAGUGCCAUCUUGUCAUGGCUAUAGCUUCAGUGUUAGAUCCAAGAUUUAAAAUGAAGUUAGUAGAAUUUAGUUUCCCAACCAUAUACUCCAAUGCUGAAAAGAACAUUGAAGAAGUGAAGAAAGCACUUUAUGAAAUGUAUGAAGAGUAUUUGGAAGUACAUGAUGCAUCAGUCCGAGAAGCUGCAACGCCUGCAAAUGGAUGUGGAGGAAAGGAAGUGUCAAAAACAUCACUCGGGUCCGGAUGGGAGGCUUUUGGGGAGUUUAUAAAAAAUACAGAUUUGGAGAGACCAGAAAAGUCAGAAUUAGAUAUGUAUUUGGAAGAAGGUGUUUAUAGGGACCCGAGACAAAAAGGAAUGGAUUCAUUCAAGGCUUUGGAGUGGUGGAAUGUUCAUAAAUUGAAGUACCGUGUUUUAUCAAAGAUGGCUAUGGAUGUGCUUGCGAUCCCGAUUUCUACAAUUGCAUCUGAGGCAACUUUUAGUGCUGGGGGUAGAGUAAUUGAUCCAUACCGAUCUUCAUUGGCACCAGACACUGUUGAAAAGUUGAUUUGUGGCGGAGAUUGGAUUAGACAUCGUUAUGGAAUCAAGAAAAAAUUAAAGGUACAUUUGAUAAACUUAAAACAUGUGAACUAACAAUUGAUUAUUUAAAUUUAUUAAUAUUUGAUCAUGUUGGUGGUUUCUUUUUACAGAAGGAGGAAAUGCCCAUUGAGGUUUUAUUACCUACAGGGACAAGUAAUACUUAAAGGUGUAAGCCAAUUUUAUUUAUUUGUAAUCUUGUUGUUUUAAUUACCUUAUAUUGCACAUCUCAUCAAAUGUUUUAAUAUGCAGAUUUUGCUGGAUUGAAUUUGCUUUAAGGAAGAUUAGCUUUUGAGUUUUGAUAAUAUGUUAUGUUCAAAUUUAAUCAUUUUUAUAGUAUUUUUGUAAUUUGAACUUCCAUGAUAGGAAGACUUUCUUUUGGAUGAUUUAAUUACAUUUUAGGUUUGUAUGUUGGAGUUUAAAACUUAUGUAAUUUGAAGAUUUUAUUUAUGCAUCUUGGUUGGAAUUUAAGUAGUCUACUAGUCUGCACCUAGCUGAAAAUCAAAUAAAUUUGUGUUUAUUAUUUUUUUAUUAUUUUUUUUAUUAUUAUGGAAUUCAUUUUGUAAACGAGCUUUUAACGAGCUCGAGCCAAGCUUAAGCUCGUUUAAGCUCAGUUAGACAAAACGAGUCGAGCCCGAGUGGAGCCCGAACCGAUGUAUUACUUUACGAGCCGAUCUCGAGCUCUGUUUUUGGGGCUCGAAACGAGCCGAACUCGAGCUCGAGCCAUACAUAUUUUAAGCAAGCCGAGCUCGAGCUUGGUCAGGCUUGGGCUCGGCUCGGCUCGUUUGCACCCCUAGUCAAAACACAUACUCAUACACCAAACUAUAAAUAAGACCUGUUUCAGUACUAAUCUAUGGCUAUAGAUUGAUAGGAACCAGUCCUCUUUUAGAGAAAAAAAAAUUGAUAAACCAAACUAUACAUAAGAACAGUUUCAGCAACAAACUUUUAGGAUGAACUGUAGUGCCAAUACAAGUUUUGGGUUAGUGAUUUUAUGUUUUAUAAUAUAUAGGAGAGAAGCAUUAAUUUCUUGUAAUUAGAUUUAUCACUCUCCCUCCAUGGACAGUAGUUCUUAUGUGUUUUAUAUUUAAAAAUAAAUUUUAAUCGUACUUACUACCAUUAAAGUUUAAUCUAUACCAACUUGAUUUUUUUUUUUUUCAUUAUCAGGUGUUCCAAUAGAGCCAUCAUUGCAAACUACUAGCCUGGUGUAGAUACAGCAUCAGUACUUGCCUGCUGGUAUACUAACUCUUAACCUUUUUUAGUUUUUUUGUUUCUGUCGACACAUGUUCUUACAUAUCUUAAAAAGAAAGAUGUGGCUGAUUUGUGGUGCCCACAAAAGCCAAUUAAAGAUUGCAUUCUUCCCAUGGUAUCCCACCAUUGUUCUAAAAGAAGUAAUCCCGUCACAUAAUAAAAGUUUCAAGCAAAGAAUAUUUAAAUUACAAAAGUUACUUGCCAAAUGAUUUUACUACGAAAUGCAGAAAUGUAUUUAUUAAAAUUCAUAGAAGUACCGAGACCCUCCCUUUUAUUAUUACCUAAUAAAAUAAAUGAACAAGUGAAACCAUCUUUGUAUAUGUGUCGUCUCUCAUCUAUAUGUAGGUCAAGCUCUCACCACUUAGAAAUUUCAAAUAAAAUAGAAUAUUGGUGUGUUGACACAGGUCAAAAAGGGUAAAAUUUUAAUUUGGUUAACUGAAAUUUAAUUUAUUGUGGAGUUGUGAGUACAUAUUUCAUCAUAUAUGUGUAGUAAUAUGAUUCAAGAAGGUUAAGACCUGCAUCAACGAAAAAUAUUUAACUCUGUUAUAUUUGUAAAAACCCCUGAAAUAUUUUCUGUCCUGGAAAAAGACACAUAUAAUUUUUCCUAUCUAUUCUAUCCAAAAUGUCCGUUAAGUAGCCCCAACAGCUACUUUUGUUAAUUUUAAACCAACUUUAAAGCAAUAAUUAAGAAAUAGCAAUGUACCCUUAAAACAAUAAGCAAGAAAUAGGAACACAGUUUUAAACAUCCAAGUUGCCAGCUUUUCUUGCUUAGUGUUUAAAAGUUGGUUUAAAAUUUUUGUUCAAAAUGUACCAGUUGGUAAACAAGAACUUCAUUUCCAUCACACUCGGGACUCCUAUGCAUUUAAAAAUGAAAAAAUUAAUCAGGAACUUUUAGUUAGGACUUAGGAAACAGGAUCAUGUAGUGCAAUCACUCUUAUAGUUGAUUACUUGAUUUAAAAAUAUAUAUUCAUCAAUCAUUUAACCAUCCAGUUAACAAUAAAUACUUUAAAAUAUAAAAAAAAUGCAUCUGUAAUACAUUAGUUAACGAUAAAUAACUCCAAAGGGGUAUUCCACGUAGUUAGUCCAUGAAAAAUAUUUGAAACUUUUUAAAGAUAAAUAUUAACGAUCGUACAAUCUUACUGUGAUCCUACAAAAAACUGAUCUAAUUAAGAUUGUGAUCAAUUUACCUAGGUGGGAUUGUAACAUCGUAGGAUAUUAUGAUCCUAUGAUCAGGAUCGUGAUUUUAACAAUCUUAUUGUAAGUCUCUAAAACCAUAUCAUGGGAGCUUGUUUGAGGCCAUGAAGAGAUUUCUGAAGAUGACACAUAUAGUCUGGGUGAAUGGAGUAACAGAACCCAGGAGGUUGAUGCAUGUAAAUUGUCUCCUACAGUUGACUAUGAAGAAAAGCAUUCUUCGCAUCCAACUGAUGAAUGUGCAAAUGUUUGGAUACAAUAAUGCUAAGAACUGUGCGGAUGGUGGCCGGUUUAACAAUCGAACUGAACGUCUCAUCAUAAUCAAAUUUAGGAUGUUGACUCUCCUCAUUUGCAAUGAGUCGAGCUUUAUCAGUAACAUCAACCUUAUAUUUCUUCUUGAACAUCCAAAUAGAAAGAACUAUGUUGGCCCCUACGGGCCUCAAAACAAGAAUUCAAGUUCCAUUAGAAAUAAGUCAAACUCAUCCUACAUGGCAAUGGUCCAAUUAUGGACACGAAGGGCUUGUAGAUGGGAUUUAGGAAGAGGCGAUUCAUACCUUAUACGAUUCAAUUUUACCCCAAAGUGUUUGGAAAAAAAUGACAAUAAGUGAGUACCUGAUUUAAGAUUUAUUGCUUAACGUUUAAAAGUACGUUGGUAUUUUUAAUGUUUAAAAGUUAGUUUAAAAUUUUAAAUGUACCUGUUGGGAUUACUCUUAAUACCAGUUAUGGCUUUUAAUAACUAUGUUUAUAAGUACUUGUUUUUGUCAAAACAAUACAUGUUGGGGAUUUAAAAUGUUGGUUUUUAUAUGUGUCCAUACAAAAUACCUAAAGUUUCUCCAUACCAGCAACAUAAGGGACCUUUAUUGGAAGGUUGAUUUCUAUGCAGUAAUAACAUCCACUUGUAACAUCCCAAAAUUUCAUGGUAAAAUUUUCAUUUUUAACACAAUCAAAACACCCAUUUAUCUUUUAAACAAACAUUUAGAAGUAUUUCAUAAUAAAAUAGUUACCAGAGUACAAUCCUAAAGUCACAAAGUUGCGGAAAAACAUGGGUAUAUGCGCUGUGAUCAAGUCGGGCCCUUCCCUUUUGAACCGGAAGUACCUAAAAUCAUAAACAAUAAACCGUAAGCACAAAGCAUAGUGAGUUUCCCCAAAAUACAACAUACCAUACAUACAAUAGAGAAUGUUAUGUGCCAGCCAUAGUCUUGCCAUUAUGCCAUGAGUUAUAUCAUGAUCUUGCCAUUAUGCCACGAGUUGUAUCAUGGUCUUUCCUUGCUAAGCCGGGGGCUGAUACCCUGGCUCUUAUAGACAAGUGCUAGGAACCACCUCCUAGUCUUCCAUUCAAGCAUCAUAAAGACAACUAGCAUACAAUCCAGUGUUCUAAAAGGCGCGCCAUGGCGGGUGCCAAGGCGCGCCAUGGCGUGAGGCGCGGCGUCACCGUUACGAAAAGCUUCAUAACGUUGCUGUUAGGCAUGGCGCGUGGCAAGGCAUGAUAUGGCGUGCCAUGGCGCGUGUUUUUUCGUUUGAGACACGUUUUUUUGCUCUUUUUUAUACCUUUUCUAAUCGGACAUACAAGUAUUGUGUUUUUUUAUUAACUUUCUGUUAUUAGUUGUUGAUAUAACACUUGUAAAAACUAGGUAUAUUUGAUAUAAAUUUAUAUUUAUGCGGUAAUAUAAUUAUAAAUUAGUACAAAAUUGCCACCUUACAUCACGCCUUGAAAAACGCCAUGGCUCGCCAUAACUCGUUAAGUUUGAGGCUUGGCCUUGCCGCCACGCCACGCCUCAUGCCUUUUAGAACCUUGAUACAAUCUACAACUAACUAUCUAUUUAACAGCCAGGGUCUGAACCCUAGGCUUGCAUACUGAUUUUCCGGAAGCCACCCUCGGGUAUUUCAAACAAAUACCAAGGGCUACCCCUUAGUCUUCCAAUAAUACAUAAGCUAAUAGGUCAACAUUGGUUCCUUCGAUCUAUAGAUAUAGUGAGAUGACUCACAUUAAACUGCUGAAGCCAUAGAUGAAUAUCUGACUACAACCUCGCUAAAAGUCCCUAUGGUAUCAAUCAACAAAUAACAUCCACUCAAUAAUUGGAUCCUAACUCACACUAAGAGUCCAAAUUAGGGUAAAAGACCUUUUUACCCCUUUCCUGAACUUGGUCCAAGGCCAAGGCCCAAUCCAAUUGUCUAAAAAUCGCAAAAUCCAAAAUGAUCACUCAAGGCCUAAAUAUGGCCCAAUUUUCCAAAUUGGCCCCAAUCCCUUUCAUGGGCCUUUACCCAAGAGAGUCCAUACUAGAAAUAUAAUGACCCAACAAAAACCUAAACUCUUAAGGUCUACACAUCUCCCAAAACCGAGAAGCCCAAACUGAAGCCCACUUGCCGAGUAGGUUACGCGUACUCAGCUCGUACUCUUAGCAUACAUGCUCUGGGGCUGGUAUGUGCAACGUACCAGCUUGAACACACAUCAUACUCCUCAUUUGGCCAACCCAUGUCAAAAAGCACUUAAUCCAUUCAACCCCUACUCCAAACUCUCAAAUCUUGUCUCAAAAGAUGAUUUAUAAUGUGAAAUUGGCAACUUGACGUGCAUGCAUGGCUUAAUGGGGCUCUAGAGCACAAAAGAGCUUAAGAAAUGGUCUUAACACAUGCAUAAGUCCAUAUCCACCAUAAAGUUUGCAUUUUUAGGCUUAAAGGACCCCUAAAAUAUCCAGAUCUAAAAGGGUAAGCUUCUAAAAUGACCAUAGCACACAAGAACCAACCAAAAAGGACCAAAAUAGUCAUAAACAAGCCCAAAAGAAGAUCUAUACAAAGAGUUGACAAGUUAUGGACUUUAUACCUCAAACGUCACAAAAUAAAGAAGCUUAAUCUGGAUCUCUAAGCUCUUCUCCAAAGGUUGAGUCUUCAAUCUUCUUCUUCUACCACUUCAAGAUGCACAAAACACACCAAGCAUCUUUACAAGAGCUCCAAAGCACCAUAUAAAGGCUAAGGAUUAUGGCUUGAAGAUAUGGAGGCUGGUCUAAAAUGUCCAAAAAGUGGGUUAAAGAAGAUUAAAUAUCGCACAAACCCUAAAAAUUAGGGUUUGUCCAAAGCCAACAUAUGCCCAUCGUAACUUAUGCAUGCCUAACGUACGUGGUCGAUGCCCACGACCAUGAUCUAGAUAGUACGCUAAGUGUACUCAUAGAUUACACCCCGCAUACUAGCUAGAGGACCAAAAUGCAAAAAAAUUAUUUAGCAAGGGUUAAAGGGAAAACUUACAAGGUCUGAAUGUUACAAGUUCUCUGUGGGGAGCGCUGAUAUUGUUCGUGAUGAAGAAUGAUGUUUAACAUCGAAUGUGCAUUGAUUACUAGGAGUUGAGCAAGUUAACGGUGUAGAACUGUUAUACCCUUCCGAGGAUUGGUGACCUCUUUGAUCAUUUGAAAGGUGCAUCCAUGUUCUCCAAGAUAGAUUUGAGGUAUGGUUAUCAUCAGGUGAGAGUGAGAUAUGAGGACAUGGAGAAGACCAUAUUCCAAACUCGUUAUGGGCAUUACAAGUUCAUGGUGAUGCCAUUAGGGCUCACCAAUGCGCCUACUAUCUUCAUGGAUUUGAUGAACUGGGUGUGCAGGACAAUGCUCGACCGAUCUGUCAUUGUGUUUAUUGAUGAUAUCUUGGUGUAUUCCAAGACCAGAGAGUAGCAUGAUGGGAUUUUAGUCGAUCCGGCCAAGAUGUAGGUUGUGAUGCAGUGGGAGGUUCCAAAAUCUAUUGGAUUAGGUGUCUAAGCCUAUAACUAUUAAUGGUAUGUACUUGACCCGAGAGUAACAUGGUCCAUUUGGGUUGCAUAUCACCAAGACAAUUUGAUAGGAUAGACUUUUGAGAAGAGGUUAUUUAUGAUUUGUUAAUAUAUUAUAUGUUCUAAUAUAUUAAUAUGAAAUCAUAUUAUUUAAUUAGUAUUGAUAAAUAAUUAAUUUGGAACUAAUUCUGUGAUCAAAAAGAGACUAAUUAAAUAUAAGGGGUUGAUUGGUAAAUCAUUCAUUCUUAUGGUGUGGGCCAAUGAUCCAUGAUUCCUUAGGUUGGGCUAAACCCAUGUGAUAACCCAUGGAUGAUCCAUGGAGGUUUAAACCCAUGGAUCCUAAGGAAUAUGGAAGGUCAUGGCUAUUAAGGCUUGCAUGAUGUAACCCUAAUCUUGCCACACUGUAGAAGAAGCCCUUAUCAUCCAAAAUGGCACUACUAGUGAUCUUGGAAUGCAUGAGCCGAUUUUACGCACUAGAUAUUCUCUCUCAAAAACUUCCUUUGUCCUAGGUGUGUUUGAUUCUAUUUGAGGUGCAACACUUAGGGCACUAAGUUCUUAAAGGUCCAAGGCUUCCAAGUACAACAAAACGUAUGUCAUCUAACUAGAAUUUUUAUAGUAAAGAUACUCUAUUGUAUGCUAGUUAGGAUGAUGCUUUAAAAAAUAAAGUUUGCAUGUAUAUUAGAGAAAACAUAGAUCUAAAGCAUCUAGGGUUUCAUUUACACCAUUGGAGUGUUAGAAUGCUCGAAACCCUUCAGUGGUGUCAGAGCCUAUGGUUGUUUUCCAAUAUACUUGAGGCUACUUGUUUUCAAAGCUUGGAAAAAUCGAUUUUCAACAUUCUGGACAAUGAACUCACCGAGUCCACUGGGGGACUCGUCGAGUCCACUCACAAAACUGACCAAGUCGCCGAGUUUGUUCAUUCACUCGACGAGUUGGUGAUCCAGAAUGCAUAUUUUCGAAGUUUUUGGCUAGAAUUGGACUAGUAUCAUUACCCUAAGCUAUUUUUGAACUUAUAAACCUAUUUUUGAUGUGGUAAUGAUUAUGCUUAUCCAAUUUAAAACAAAAUUUUUAAAGGUUCAUGUUUUGUAUUAGUUUAUAUUGUUAGGCUAAUUACAUGAAAUUUGUUUGAUAUGAAUUAUCUUGUUCAUAUGAGUUUUAUCUAGAUCAUGAACAUUACUUGACAUGCUUAUUAGUGUUUGAUGAUCUUGAUGGCCUUUAAUUUACUCCACAACUUGUCCUCAAGUUAUGGAAAAUGAAAAGUUUUUUCAUUUUAAAAAUAUCAUUAAAGUCAUAGGUUAUGUACUUGAAGAGUCUUUUUCCCAUAAAUAGUUUUAUGAACUCCAUAACUUGUCCUCAAGUUAUGGAUUUUCAAGGCUUUUCAUUAAAGCCUAUAUUAAACUCAAAUGUUAUGGAUUCCAAAAGUUUUUGAAAAGUUCAAAAUUUUCCCUCAAGUUUUGGAAUUUGUAAAUGUAGAGUCUUCUUUUGACACAUUUAGUUCCAAACCCUAGAAUUUUAAAUGUUUAAAAUUCAACCUUAUACUAUUAUAAUAUUAUAGGUUUAAUAUAUAUAUAUAUAUAUNAUGUAUGUAUAUAUGUAUAAGAAUAUAGUCAGUGUUACCGUUAGUAGGCCUCAUUCAUGAAGCCGGUCUAUAAGAGGGGUAUAAGGUUACUGCCUAUAAAAUGGCAGUUUAAUGGGUGUCCACUCUCACCCACCGCUUCCUUAAUUGAUGGAGGGUCGUUAGUCGAACGGGUUCAAUAGGAGAUUUUAAUUUUUAUUAUAAGUAUAAUGAUAAUUAUAAAGUAACUAAACUUUCAUUAAAUUCCCAAUCUUAGUUACUUUAGGAAAAAUGUGAAUUUGGUGCUAAGCCAUGAAAUUGCACUUUGCACCUUGUUAAGUCAUUAGUGGAGCGUAUGUGGUUAACCGGCACACUAAUCUGGAUUGACAGUGUGUGGCAAAGGGUAGCUUGAUGUUAAUCAUAGAUCAAUGGAGUGUGUGUGGUUAACCGACACAUUGAUUAGGUGGUUGUAAUGUAACAUCCCGAGUCCAGGUAUACUUUGUGAACCUUGAUCUAUUGAGUUGUUGUCUAUUUUUGUGCUUAAUAUAAAAUGAGUGAAAAAUGAUUACGCGGGGCGUACCUGAGGAGCACACUUAGCGUACUCAUCAGUGUGCAUGUGACACAGAGACCACCUAGUACAUUAGGCGUAACUGUGGGUAUGCUGGGCGUACUAGGCCGAGAGUGCAAACCCUAAUUUAGGGUGAGUCCCCUAUAUAAAGGAUAUGAUGACCUCAUUCCUGGCCACCAUUCCCAGAGAGAAAACGCUAAGAGGGACCUAACCCUCGUUCUAGAGCUUGUGUGUGUGUGUGUGUGUGUGUGUGUUUGAGCCUUGAGAGCUUUUGUGUGGUUUUGAAGAGAAGAGGAGGUCUUGAAGAAGAAGGAGUUGGAGUCCAUGCUUCUAGAUUCGAGAAAAUCUGAGUGGGAAGCUUCUUGUUGAGGUAUAAAGCUUCACUCUUUACCUCUCUUUUGUUAUGAGCAUCUUAUUUGAGUAUUUCAGGGUUUUGUUCCAAAAAGGUGGAGACUUGAUGAGAUCUUGAACUCCAGAGACGAGGACCAAACCCUUUUGAGAAUAUGAGUAGCGCAAAGUCAAAAAAAAUCAAAUCUUGGUCGUUGAAAUCACUCCAUGCAUGAGUUAUGAGCUCCUUGAGGCAAAAGAGUGUAUAUUUUGAGGUUGGUGACCAUUUCAGCCAUGCAAAGGCUUAAAGUCACCGACUAUUCUUGGAAUGUACUUGACCCAAUUAGCAUGGUCCAUUUGGGUCAUGGCAUUGUAACACUUGGAUAGACUAAAUGAGAGAAAGGAUACUAAAGGUUUAUUAAUAUAUUAUAAGUUCUAAUAUAUUAAUAAUAGUAUUUAAUUAGUAUUGAUCAAAGAAUUAUUUUGGAAUUAAUUAAGUGAUCAAAAAGAGACUAAUUAAAUAUAUAGGGUUGAUUAUGUAAAUCAUCUAAUCUUGUAUAGUGGGCUAAUGAUCCAUUGUUUGUGUGGAUUGGGUUAAAACCCAUAAGGUGCUCCGUGGAUAGUACAUGGAGGUUACAAACCCAUGGAUCAUGGAACAUGAAAUGCCAUGACAAUUAGGGUUUACAUGGUGUAACCCUACUUGUAACACAACUAUAUAAAGACUCCAUGGAUGACUAAAAUCGGCACUACAAGAAAGUAAUAGAGGGCUAGCCGAUUUUGAGGUGUAAGUGAACUUCUCUCAAAGUUAUUCUAAGUGUUGUGGUGUUGUGUGAAACAUUUGAGGCAUCACACAUGAGGUCCUAGGCUCACAAGGUUUUCAAGGAAUCCAAGCAACUAAAAUGUAUGUUCUUCUACUAGCAUUUAUGUUUUAAAGUUCCCCACGACAUGCUAGUUAUAUUAAGAACCUUGGAAAAUCAUUUUGCAUGUAUCUUAGUAAAACAUAGAUCCAAGGUUUCUAGCGUUGCAUGUACACCUUAAGAGUGUUACAAUGCUCAAAAACCCUUCAAUGGUAUGAGAGACUAUGCUUGUUUAUUUAAUACUUGAUGCAAACUUGUUAAGAAAAUCGACAAAACUGCCUUCUGCUGAGUGAACUCGUCGAUUCCAAGGGGGGACUUGAUGAGUCCAUGCUUAUAUUCAACCAACUUGCCGAGUCAGUUCUUGCACUCGACGAGUUGGCUUGUCAAAGUGCAGUUUUUCGACUUUUGCUGCUAGAAAUGGGCUAGAAUCAUUACCCUAAACUGUUUUGGUGUUAUAACACUUGUUUUAGAUGGUGUAAUGUUUAUGCUAAUCCAUUUUCAAAGGGUAAUAUCAAAUUUUCAAGCUUUGUAUGGUUUAUUUAUGAUUCUUGAAAUUGUUGAUAUGAACAUUCAUGAACUUAUGAGUUUAGAAGAUCAUAGGAAUUAUUUGUAACUUGCUUGUUGUUUUAAUUCUUGAUCAUGAUGUGUUUUAAUGGAAUCUAUAGUUUAUCCUCAGGUUAUGGAUUACCAAAAGUCACACUUUUAAAGUCCAUUAUUAAACACAUAGGUUACAUGAAAUGAAAUGUCUCUCAUAUUAUUAAUCCAUUAACUCCUAAGUUAUGAAAGUUGAAAAGUUUUGAAAGUUACAAAACGUUCCCUCAAGUUUUGGAACAUGUAAAGCUACUUUAAAAAACUUUAGUUCCAACCCCUAGAAUUUUAAAAGUUAAAUUUUAACCCUUAUACUUUAUAAUAUUAUAAGUUAAUAAUAUAUAUAUAUAUAUAUAUAUANNNNNNNNNNNNNNNNNNNNNNNNNNNNNNNNNNNNNNCGUUUCACCGUUUGUAGGCCUCAGUCAUGAAGCCAGUCUAUAAGGGGGUAUAAGGUUGUUACUAAUAAAAUGGCAGCUUAAUGUGUGUCCACUCUCACCCACCGCUUCCUUCACUGGUGGAGGGUCGUUAGCCGAAUGGGUAAGACAAUGAAUUUAAUCCUCAUUAAAAGUAUGAAGAUUGUAAAGUAACUAAUUUUUUUUUUUUUAUAAAUUCCCAAUAUUUGUUACUUUAGGAAAAUGUGAAUAAGGUGUAUCCCAUGAAAUUACACUUUGCACUUUGUUUAAGUCGUUAGUGGAGCAUGUAUGGUUAACCGACACACUAACCUGGACUUAAUAUGGUAGGAAAAGGGUGGCUUAAGGUUUAUCAUAGGUUGUUGGAGUGUGUGUGGUUAACCGGCACAUCGAUUGAGUGAUAAACAUUAAGAGUAGCAAGUAAUUUGCAUGGUUACUUCACACCUUGUUUUGUGUUCCUCGGCAUCCCAGUCACAAAACUUGAAUGGAACACUCGAGAUUGAAACAUGCCAUUUAAAACUUCAAUGAAUCUCAAAGAACGUAGGAGUUUCAAAAAGCAAUUAAAACCUAAUAUUUUAUUUCGUUUUUCAUGGUGGAAAUUGGUGAAUCGUCAUUCACCUACCUUGAAAUAUUUUAUAGCUUGGAUUACAGCAUCCCUCUUCUAAGUUAUAAAAUAUUGUGUUGGGUCCUAGCCUUAAUAUUACAUUUGGGUGUCUUAUUAAUGACUAUCUUUAUAUCUAAUCUAAACUUGUUUUUCUUCUUUUUCAGAUGUCUUCUAACAAUGUUGCUUUUGGCUCAAACCCUACCGGCUCCUUCUCUCUUAUGAACCUUUGUGGGAGAUUCAUCUUUGAUGGUUCCAACUUUAUGGAUUGGAUCGGGAACAUCAGGAUGGUCACUCAUUAAGAGGACAAAGAAUAUGUCCUCGACAAGAAGCUGAAGGAACUCGAUGAGUCAUCUGCUACUCUUGAGGAGAUCGUGGAAUUCCGGACUCAUGAGAGAGAUGCCAUGAAAGUGUCAUGUAUCAUGUUGGCCACGAUGACAGCUGAGCUCAUCGAGUUGAUGGACCACUACCAUCAAAGUGCUCGCCACUAUUACCCUUUUGAGAUGCACCAGGACUUGAUGGACCACUACCAUCAAAGUGCUCGCCAAGGAGGUAUAACAUCAUCUGCUCCAUGAUAACAACCCGGAUGAAGGAUAGAGAACCCAUCACCGGCCACUUAUAGAAAAUGCAAAGGUAUGUGGACCGUUUGUUGAAGCCAAAUGUGAACUUCCCAGAGGAGUUGACAAUUGACAUCAUUUUGCACUCCUUAGCUUCUUGUUUUGAUCAAUUCCGAAUGACAUACCACAUGAAAAAGGAGGAAGUCACACUUAGCAAACUUCAAGGACUCUUGAAGACCGUCGAAAGUGGUCUUAAGGGUAAACCGGUUGUUACCACUCCUACUCCUACCGCGGCCCCUAUCUUGGUAAUCCGGCAAGGCAAAGGGAAGAAGAGGAAGAGCCCUUCGAAGGGCACCAAGGGAAAGUCUCUUGAUGGCUCAUCUUCAAGUGGAACCAAGAAAGGUUAUGUCACUCCUUUUGCUAACCCUAAAGCGGCUGAAUGCUUCUAUUGCCACGAAAAGUCGCACUGGAAGCGAAACUGCCCAAAGUACCUACAAGAUGUGAAGGAUGGGAAAGUAAAACCCAACCAUGCAGGUAUUUACACUAUAUUGUCUAAUAACUCACCCAUUCUAAUUCUUGGGGGCUUGAUACCGGUUGUGGUAUUCAUAUUUGUUCUGACUUGCAGGGACUAAGAAGAAGUGAGGAUGUGGAGCAUGGAAAGAUACACUUAAUCAUAGGGAAUCAGAAAGCUUCACAUGUCACCAAGAUUGGAGUUUAUACUUUGUUGCUAAGUAGUGGGUUAACUUUAGAUUUGAAUAAAUGUUGUUACUCGUUUGAAAUGGAAAGAAAUAUUAUUUCCUUUCAUGCUUGGUACAAACAAGGGUUUACCUUUUCUUUUGAUAAUGAAUGUGGUGGUAUUAAUGCUUUCUUUAAUAAUGUUCUUUAUUUUAAAGCAUUACCUUGUGAUGGUGUGUAUGAAGUUGUGUCGAUUGUAGAUAACCUAGGAAAUAAUAUGUUGUGUAUUGAUUCUUCCACUAGCUUGGAUAAAGCAUCAUUGUGGCAUUGUCGUCUUAGACAUGUAAGCAAGAAACGCAUAGGCCAACUCCAAAGGGAUGGAGUGUUGUACUCAUUUGAACUAAAGUCGGAUGAUAGUUUUGAAUCUUGUCUACUUGGAAAAAUGAGAAAAUCACCAUUCACUGGUUCUUGUGGUAGGGUUGAAGGUUUGUUGGAUCUGGUACACACGGAUGUGUAUGGACCCUUCAGAACCGCCAUAAGGGAUGCUAACCGCUUUUAUGUGACUUUCACUGAUGAUUGUAGUAGAUAUGGAUAUGUCUACUUAAUCAAGCAUAAUUCAGAAACCUUUGAAAAGUUCAAAGAGUUUAACCAGGCAGUGGAGAACCAAUUGGGCAGGAACAUUAAGAUGCUUCGAUCCGAUCGAGGAGGAGAGUAUCUUAGUACCGAGUUCCUUGACUAUCUUAAGGAAUGUGGGAUUGUCUCACAAUUGACACCUCACAGGACACCACGACUUAAUGGUAUGGCUGAAUGGCGUAAUCGAACCUUGUUGGACAAGGUUCGUUCAAUGAUGAGUCGAGCUUCGCUACCAAUCUCAUUUCGGGGGUAUGCCUUAGAGACUGCCACUCAUGUUCUAAAUCUAGUCCCUACAAAGAAGGUUGCCAAAACACCUCACGAGAUGUGGACUGAAAAAGUUCCCAAUCUAGACCACAUCAAGAUUUGGGGUUGCAAGGCUUUCGUGAGGCACGAGACUCACGAUAAUCUCGAACCACGAAGUGAGAGGUGUAUUUUCAUCGACUACCGACAGAAAUCCUUUGGUUACCUCUUCUACAGACCCAUUGAUAAUGUGGUCUUUGUAGUGAGGAGGGGAGUCCUUUGCGGGAGAGAGUUCAUAAGAAAAGGAAACAGUAGGAGGCAAUUUAAUCUUGAAGAAAUUCAAGAGUCAAGUGGUAAAGGAACCUGAAACCCUAGCAAUCAACCUGAGGAGGAAACUCUUGUUGAUUCGACAGAUGAAUUUGUACCUCUGAAGCGUUCCACAAGAGUUAGGAAUGCACCUGAGCAUUACUACGGUUUCCAUAUUAGUGCGGAAGGUGAUACACUUAUCAGUGAUAAUAGGAUGGUAAGUCUGGAUGAACCUAACAGCUAUACGGAUGCCAUGGCAGGCCCUGAGGCUGCUAAAUGGAAAGAGGCUAUGGACAACGAGAUAUAGUCCAUGUAUGACAAUCAAGUUUGGGACUUAGUUGACAAUGUACCAGGUCAUAAUACAUUUUGGUGCAAAUGGAUCUUUAAGAAAAAGACCGACAUGAAUGGUAAUAUAGACACUUAUAAGGCGUGAGUGGUUGCAAAGGGCUUUUCUCAAACUCUGGGAGUUGAUUAUGAUGAGACUUUUUCAGUAGUAGCUAAGAUUAAGUCUAUUAGGGUUGUCUUAGCCAUUAGUGCAUUUCAUGAUUAUGAAAUAUGGAAAAUGGAUGUAAAAAAUGCUUUCCUUAAUGGAAAAUUGGCUGAGGAUAUUUACAUGAGUCAGCUAGAGGGUUUUGUCAGUACAGAGUACCCUAAUAGAGUGUGUAAGCUUGAGAAAUCCAUUUAUGGAUUGAAACAAGCACCUCGCAGAUGGAAUCUUUGUUCCAAUGAGAAAGUCGAGAGUUUGGCUUUUCGAGGAGCGAAGAUGAAUCAUGUGUAUAUGUCAAGGUUAGUGGGAGUAUAGCUAGCUUUUUGGUAUUGUAUGUGGAUGGCAUAAUACUAAUAGGAAAUGACAUCCCAACUCCGCUGGAAGUGAAAUCCUAGCUUGGGAAGUGUUUCGCUAUGAAGGACCUUAGAGAAGCUGCCUAUAUCCUAGGGAUAAGGAUUUUAAGAGACAGGAGUAAAAGACCAAUUGGACAUAGUCAGAGUACCUACUUGGAUCAAGUGUUGAAUAGAUUCAGCAUGCAGAAUUCCAAGAAAGGAGAGUUACCAAUCCAGAGUAACGCUAUACAUAGUAAGACUUAGAGCCCAAGUACAGAGGCUGAGAUAGCUGAGAUGAGUUGAGUACCGUAUGCUUCCGUUGUAGGCUCGAUCAUGUAUGUUAUAACUUGUACUCGUCCUGAUGUGGCCUUUGCAUUGAGCAUGGUCUGCAGAUAUUAGGGGAACCCUGGCAAGGCUCACUGGACUGCAGUAAAGAACAUUCUCAAGUAGCUGCGGACGACUAAGGACUGGGUCCUUACCCUCGGUGGGAGUGAUGACUUGAGAGUAGUAGGGUAUAGUGAUGCUAGCUUCCAGACUGAUAGGGAUAAUUUCCGCUCUUAGUCAGGCUGGGUCUUUACCUUAAACGGAGGAGCAAUUACUUGGAAAAGUUCCAAGCAUGAGACAGUGGCUGACUCAACUCGCGAAUCAGAGUAUAUAGUGGCAAGCGAGGGAGCAAAGGAGGCUAUAUGGCUAAAGAAAUUCAUUGGACACCUUGGGGUUGUACCAGCCAUAAAGGAGCCUAUGGAAAUUUUCUGUGAUAGUGAAAGUGCAGUUGCCUUAGCCAAGGAACCAAGGGUGUUGGAUAAGGUGUCUAAGUCCAUAACUUAUUUGGUAUAUACUUGACCCGACCCGGCAUGGUCCAUUUGGGUUGCAUUUCAUCCAAACUAUUUAUGGAUAAUUUUAUGAGAGUUAUACACAUAUGAUUAUUAAUAUAUUAUAAGUUAUAAUAUAUUAAUAUGAAGUCAUGUUAUUUAAUUAGUCUUAGUCUUAAAUUAAUUAUGAAUUAAUUUAGAGAUUAAAAGGAAGACUAAUUAGAUUGUGGGCUAUUGGUUUUAUAUAGUGUGGGCUAACACUCAUUUGUUAAUGGGCUAGGCUUGUAUGGAAGUCCAUGGAUGAUCCAUGGAGCUUUUAACCCAUGGAUCCUUGGAAAAGGAAAGGUCAUGGGUUAUUAGGGUUUCACCCUAAUCAUGUACACUAUAUAAGCAUGUAUAUGUUGCAUGAAAUAGCCACUAGUGUCACUAGUGUGUGUGCUUUUGUGUGGCCAAUUUUGUAGUGUGUAUACACUCUCUCAGAGUUUUCCAAGAGUUUGUGGUGCUUUGUGAUUCCAUUUGAGGCAUUCACACUAUUGGUGCUUGGCCCUCAAACUCCUUAGGAAUCAAACUCAUCAUCAAAAGGUAUGUAAUCUCAUCUAAUUCUUUUAUGUUUAAAAGUACCCCAUGCCAUGUUAGAUAGGUUAUGAACCUUGGAAAAUUAUUAUUUUGCAUGUAUUUAGACAAACAUAGAUCCAAGGUUUAUUAGGGUUGCAUGCACACUUAGGAAGUGUUAGAUUGCUCAAAACCCAACAGUGGUAUCAGAGCCUAGGCUUGCUUGUUUGAUACUUGAUGCAAAAUAGUGAAAAAAGUUGAAAUUGUUGCUGUCUGGCUGAUGGACUCGCCGAGUCCAUGGGGGGACUCGCCGAGUUCAAGGCAAAAUUCAUCCUACUCGGCGAGUAGGUUCGUGCACUCGGCGAGUAGAAUGAUCAGAAUGCAGAAUUUCGACUUUUGCUGCUGGAAAUGGACUAGAAACAUUACCCUAAACUGUUUUGGUGUUUUAAAACUUGUUUUAGUUGGUGUAAUGGUUGUUCUAAUCCAUUUACAAUAGCAUAUAUCAAAAUUCCAUGAUUUUUAUGUGUUCAUAUAAUUCUUGAAAUUUUGAUGAUCAUGUUCAUGUUCUUAUGAAUUUAGAAGAUGAUAGGAAUUAUUUGCUGAAUUGUUUAGAAUUAAUUCUUGAUCAUUUAUGUGUUUUAAUGGAGUCCAUAAUUUGUCCUCAAGUUAUGGAUAUCCAAAGGUCACUUUUCUUUAACACACACAUUUAAACACAUAAGUUACAUGAAAAUGAAGAGUCUUCAUUUUUAUGAACCUUUAAUUCAUAAGUUAUGAAAUGAAAAGUUUUGGAUAGUUACAAAACUUGCCCUCAAGUUUUGGAAUUUGAAAAGUUUCACACACUUUAAUAAACUUUAAUUCCAACACUUAGAGUUUUAAAAGUUAAAAUUCAACACUUAUACUAUUUAUAACAUUAAUGGUUAAUUAUUAUAUAUAUGUAUAAGAACAAGUCGUUUUACCGUUAGUAGGCCUCAUUCACGAAGCCGGUCUAUAAGGUGGGUAUAAGGUUGUUGCCUAUAAAAUGGCGACUUAAUGGGUGUCCACUCUCACCCACCGCUUGCUUGAUCGGUGGAGGGUCGUUAGCCGAACGGGUAGGACAAUGACUUUAAAUUCUCAUUAAAAGUAUAAUGAUUAUUAUAAAGUAACUAAAAAUUUUUUAUUUAAUUCCCAAUCUUAGUUACUUUAGGAAAAAUGUGAAUUUGGUGCUAGCCCAUGGAAUUCACACUUUGUACCUUACCAAGUCGUUGGUGGAGCGUGUGUGGUUAACCGGCACACUAACUUGGACUAGUAAGGAUCACGAAGGGUGACUUAAUGUUUGUCAUAGAUCAAUGGAGCGUGUGUGGUUAACCGGCACAUUGAUUAGGUGAUAAUAUUAAGGGUACCAAGUGAAUUGGUAUGGUUAUUCACACCUUGUUUUGUGAUCCUCGGCAUCCCAGUCACAAAAUUUGAGAGGGCACACUCGAGAUUGAAACAUGCCAUUGAAAAGUUCAAUGAAUCUCAAAAGAUCUAGGAAUUUCAAAUCCAAUUAAAACCUAAUAAAUUAUUUCGUUUUUCAUGGUGGAAAUUGGUGAAUCGUCAUUCGCCUACCUUCAAAUAUUUUAUAGCUUGGAUUACGGCAUCCCUCUUCCAAAUUAUAAAAUAUUGUGUUGGGUCCUAGCCUUAAUAUUUCAUAUUGGGUGUUAUAUUAAGGACUUUGAAUCAACUAACUUGAUUUUCUCCCAUUAUAGAUGUCUGGUUCAGACAACUAUGAUCUUCCCAAAUCUCUUGAAGAUGGUGUCCCUCAACAUCAUGCUUCACUUCCUCCACCUCCUCCAAUUAUUCUCCCUCACCCACAAGUUCUUGAAAAGUUUAAAGUCACUCAAUCCCUAUUGGCAAGCAUAGUCUAUGUGUGCUCACAUCUUGGAGAUAAAGUCACAUAUUGACAAGCCGGGAGAGUUGGGUGUCAAAGUCUCGUGAAAGUUGGAUGUUCAAUCACUUUCUUAGUAACAUAGUGAGUCUCUUUGGGACUACUAUGAGACAGACUAUGACAUGACCCUUAAUGAUGUUAUCUAUUUGCUUGGUGUUGUGGAAUCAGCAAUGAUUUGGAACACCAGUAAAGCAAAUUUGAUUAAAAGAACAACUUCCCAAGUCUUAAAUGGACAUUGACAAUGGUAGCAUUGGAUAUCUAGAAAAGGAUUUCUCUUCCCAAUGGAAAGGGAUCGGCCAUAGUCAACUCGGUUGACCAAAUGGUAAAGAGAAAGGCUAAGUCUGAGAUAGUCUCAUGUGCCAUUACCAAAGGGUCCAUGUGUUUUGUUGCCAAAGGAAGGGGCAUUGGUUGCGAAGCUGCCCUAUUCACCUGAAAGGUCAUAAGGUUGAUCAAGUCAAGAGGUUUGACUCUACUUCGGGUAAAGUCCACUGUCUAACUCUAUUAAGUUCCUAUUUGGAGAUUCUUAUUACAUAAUGUGAAUGGGUCACAUGCUGAUGUUUUUAAGAAUCAAAGAAAAGAUAGGAAGCUUAAAGUAAGUAUAUGUUGAUUCUGAUUGCGAAGGUGGGUUUCGAUCGCAUGGUUCGGUAAUCAGAAUUUUGAGCUGUUGCUUAAGAGUUAUAAUAUAUUGCUUAUGAAUAGAUAACAACAAGGUUUUCAUGUGGAUUGUAAGGAUAAGUUUUUCCGCAAAGUUUUAAAAAAAAAAAAAAAAAGGGUUUUAAUUUUAUUUAUUUUAAAAAUAUCCUUACAAUGGCAUCUGUGGAAAAUUGUUGCUUAUAUGUUUCCAGUAAUAGCAAUAUUGGAAAGUGGAUUUGAUUCUUUCAUUUGUGGUAGUGUCUGAAUUUACCAAAUGAAGAAAGUUUUUCAUCACCCAAGUUUCAAUUGGACAGAAACUUGGAAUCAUACAAGUUGUAUUGUAUGAUGAAUGAGAAUUUUCAUCUUUGAAAAUUAAGACUAAUUCUUUGAUCACAUGUAUAUGUGAGUCAAUUGAAGGACUAAGGAAUUAGGUACACUGGGUGUGCGCUGGUCAAGGUCCACCACAAAGAUUGAUUUGUCAUGAUUUACUAAAGAUUAGUAAAUAUGAUUAUACUUAUGAGGUUAAGUAUAAUUCUGUAACAUUGGAAAGGUUACAAUGUAUGACAAAACAAAUGAGAAGAAUCAAAUUAGGCAGAAAGAUAAAAGUUUCUCAAAUCUGAAAGGAUGGGAGAGUACUUUAGUAUCGUAUUUCAUGAUCAUCUUAAUGAUUAUGAAACCAUAUCACAAAUUCAUACUCUAAGGACGUCUUAGUGCAUUGUUAUGGCUAAGAAGAGAGGUCAUGAAUUGUUGGAUUGGUUAAAAUCAAGAAGAUGAGUCAUACUUCGUUCCAAAACAAUUCUUAGAGUCAUACUCCAAGAUUGUAACUUUGAGUGACAUAAAGGAAGAUUUAUUAACACUAGUCAAAUGUAAGAGUAAAAUGUUUUCUACUCUUGUACAUUUGAGAUUGGUAAGUUGUGAUGUCUUGGAUGAGACAAAGACCAACUAAGACCAAUUGUGUGAAGUGUUAGUCUUGAUAAGAAUCCGCACUAUCCCUUGAAUAUUUGUUUUGUCAAGGAAUGGUUCUUGACUGGGGAAACUUAUAUGUCAAGGGGACAGUGGGAGCCUUAAAGAUCCUGAAAGAGUUUCAAGAUUUAAUCAAGAGUAAAACCUGUAAUUUAUCACUAGCACACGACUUAAGGUUUGCAACCUAUCGUGUUGACAUAAUUCUUAUUUCUGUACCUACUUCAAAUAAGUUGAAUUUGCAUGUGAGUUAUCAGAGUUCAACUUGGAAGCAUUGGUGGGCCUUGUGCUACCAAGGUGACAAGAAACUAAGAUUGAACAAGUUUAAUCCAUGUAAGGCUGAAUUUGUCACUAACCUUAUCUUGUGAUUAUGGUUUUGACAAAUUCACAUGGAUAGGAACUCAUACACUAUAAAAUCUAAGUGUCAUAAGGUUUCUCUCCGAUUCAUGAAAAUGAUGGUGAGGAAACGCUUUCACUAAGUAGAUUUUACGUAGAUAUCAAUUGUGUUAUUUGCAUUUUCAAAAGUCGUUAGUGGAGCGCGUGUGGUUAACCGGCACACUAACAUGGACUUGUGAGAAAUGGCAAAUGCCUAAGCAAUUGAGACUAUGAUUACGGCAUCCCUUUUCAUAGUUCUGAAAAUUGUUUAGACACACAUGUGAGCUAUCUAAGAAAGGGUGUAUGAAUCUAAAUUUCAGAAGUCCAGCAGAUUUCUGGAAAUAUGUCAGAGCUAGUGGGAGCAUAAGUGUUAUGCUGAUAAUCAUCAUGUUAGUGGGAGCAUGAUUAUUACGUUUAGUGUUGCAAGUUAGCAAUGUUAAUUAUAGAAAACAAAGUUUCAAUUCGUGAAGUUGCAGGGGUUGAAAAGUUGUUUUGCUAUAAUUAAGGGAGAGGAAAUUAUACUUCAUUUCAAUUCUAAAGCUUAGAUUGAGAUUUUAAUCAUCUUUAGUCAAGAAUAUAUAUAUGAAUUUUAUGUUGGAAUGGUUCAACUUGAAGAAAUUCUAUAUAUAUUGCGUUUUCAAAAUUCGAUUAUGAUUACGGCAUCCCUCUUCAUAGUUAAAUUUUGAAAACAUGGCAAAUAAAAAAUAUUGUAGCAAAAGACUGGUCUAGUAUCAUGUCUUUAUGUCAAACAUCAUGAAUCGUGUCCCAUAUGCUUCGGAUAUAGGAUCGAUUGCAUGUGCUAUAAUAUUCAUCUUUUCUAAAUUUUCCAAAUGCUUAAGGCAUUGAGAAGGGAAAAGUCUAGAACUGGAUAUGACUAAAGUGAUUAAGCAAUUGUCGAGGACAAUCUGAGGUUCGCCAAAGAUUGGUUGCUCAGGGAAAGUUGGAAGUAUGAUGUAAGUUGUCGGAAAGGACCAUAUUGACAUAUUCUGAAAAGAAGUAACUCUUGUUCGGAAGUGAUAGUCAAAAUGGGACUAUGGAAAUGUCUCCAUAGGUGGAAGUUAUUCAAUCUAUGUAAGAUUAGAAAACCUUAAUGCAAGAAGGAUGUUCAAAGCAAUGUACUUUGAAUAUGAGACUUCCGUUCCAUAGAAGUUGACCUUCUUUGGAAUACUCUGUAAUGACUGGUGACAAGGUUUUGGUGACUUUGUGCAUAAUCAUUACAAGAGGAACAUUGCAUAAAAGUUUAAAAUCUAACAGUUUUUUUGGUAAAUGAUAGGAAUCGGGGAUUCUCACAUUUACAAUAAGGAUUUGGGAUUGUGAAAUGAGUAUCAUUGGAAUCAUGUUCAAUUGAUCUACAUCACAAUGUAAGGAUCAUAGACAAACAUAGUGUGCAUACUUGGAGUAUGGCAUAACUAUUGUUUAGAAAAACAAAGUGUACAUGCUAGGAGCAUGGGACGACUGUUGUUUUUAUUCAAGUCUUAAGUUGAUUGUUUGAAACAUUAUACAAUGAAUAAUGUGUAAUCAAUAUGGUGAUAAAUAAAAGGUGGUUCUAUUUAUAUUCAAAAGGGUUCUGAGACCAUAUUGGAUUCGAUUAUUAUUGUGUUUCACUUUGCAUGUUUUGACUUCCAAAAUAGCUAGGUUAUUCUUUCCGAAUGACUAAGUUAUUUAAACACUCCACAGUCGUUCAUAUGUUGGAAGUAGGUAUGAAUCAAGACUGUCAUGAAUCGAGUUUGUAGAUGGCUAAAUGGGUUUAGUCAUAGCAAUGGUUGCUACAACAUUCAUGAGUGCUCAUAAGUUAUGAGUAUUGGAAUAAACCCACGCUCACUUGUAUCACUUCAUGGAAUUUAUCUCGAGUGAUCGUGAGACGGUAAUAUCAUAUAAAUCUUCAAACCUAGAGAUAUGAGUUGUUACCUAUGAGUUGGUUGUGCAUUGAUUGCACGUAAACGCAUCAGUAACUUGAUGUUAUAAAACGUGCCUUUGUGUACAAUUCAACAAGUAGUAGAACAAGCAUAUGAGUCGAAGUUUAUCUGUUCCUUCUAGAAAUAGAAGCGAUAUCUGGGCCCCUCGAUGAUUUUGUUGUGACCUAUGUACCGGCCGGUCAGAACUAAAUUGAUGUGUUCGAUUAAGUUCUUUGUCAAACAAAUCGAAAAUCGGGAAACAAACUGCUGGACAAUAAGUACGACGUUGUUCCAUGUAUUUGUCCGGCUGAUAUCAUGAGAACAGAGGAUUAUAUGAUCACUUAUCUAAAAUGGCGCUUCAUAGUUCAACAGAGUUUUCGAGAGCUACGAUUGCUGGUUGGUUCCUGAAGUAACAUACGCAAAUAUAGUUAUUAGACUUAUCCAAGUGGGAGUGUGUUGGAUAAGGUGUCUAAGUCCAUAACUUAUUUGGUAUAUACUUGACCCGACCCGGCAUGGUCCAUUUGGGUUGCACUUCACCCAAACUAUUUAUGGAUAAUUUUAUGAGAGUUAUACACAUAUGUUUAUUAAUAUAUUAUAAGUUAUAAUAUAUUAAUAUGAAGUCAUGUUAUUUAAUUAGUCUUAGUCUUAAAUUAAUUAUGAAUUAAUUUAGAGAUUAAAAGGAAGACUAAUUAGAUUGUGGGCUAUUGGUUUUAUAUAGUGUGGGCUAACACUCAUUUGUUAAUGGGCUAGGCUUGUAUGGAAGUCCAUGGAUGAUCCAUGGAGCUUUUAACCCAUGGAUCCUUGGAAAAGGAAAGGUCAUGGGUUAUUAAGGUUUCACCCUAAUCAUGUACACUAUAUAAGCAUGUAUAUGUUGCAUGAAAUAGCCACUAGUGUCACUAGUGUGUGUGCUUGUGUGUGGCCGAUUUUGUAGUGUGUAUACACUCUCUCAGAGUUUUCCAAGAGUUUGUGGUGAUUUGUGAUUCCAUUUGAGGCAUUCACACUAUUGUUGCUUGGCCCUCAAACUCCUUAGGAAUCAAACUCAUCAUCAAAAGGUAUGUAAUCUCAUCUAAUUCUUUUAUGUUUAAAAAUACCCCAUGCCAUGUUAGAUAGGUUAUGAACCUUGGAAAAUUAUUAUUUUUCAUGUAUUUAGACAAACAUAGAUCCAAGGUUUAUUAGGGUUGCAUGCACACUUAGGAAGUGUUAGAUUGCUCAAAACCCAACAAAGGGAUCACGGAAGAUCCAGACACAUCGACAGAAAGUAUCAUUUCAUCAGACAUCAAAUAGAAGAAGGACUCCUUGUGCCAAAGAGGGUAUCAUCGGAUGAGAACCCAGUAGAUCCCCUCACGAAGGGACUGGGUAGGGUUAAGAAUCUCCAACAUGCAAGGCGCAUAGGGCUGAAGGAUGAUAUUAGUUUUAGUAGUUAGAUAGUUUUGAAAUUUGUAAAAUGUAAUUGACAUUUUAUAAUAAAUAAAAGUUGUUGUUUAUUUAUAAGUAUAAGUGUUGCUAUCUUUUGUCAGUCAUUUACUAUCAUUUCAUUUUGAAUGUUUUGACUUCCAGAAUAAGUAUGUUAUGGUAUAUCAUAUUAUUCAUAUUCUCCACGGUCAGUCAUAUGUUUGAAGUAGAUAUGAAUCAAGACUGUCAUGAGUUGGCUUGUAGAUGUCUAACUUGUUGGACAUAGCAAGAGUUGCUACAACACUCAUGAGUGCUCAUAAAUUCUGAGUAUUAGAUUCAACCCACGCUCACUUGUAUCACUUCAUGGAAUUUAUCUCGAGUGAUCAUGAGAUGGUAAUAUCAUAUAAGUCUUCAAACCUAGAGAUAUGAGUUGUUGACUAUGAGUUGGUUACACAUUGAUUGUACGAAAAUGCAUUGGUAACUUGAUGUUAUAAAACAUGUCUUCAUGUAUGAUUCAACAAGUAGUAGAACAAGCAUAUGAGUCAAAGUUUAUUUGUUCCUUCAUGGAUUAGAAGCGAUAUAUGGACCCCUCAAUGAUUUUGUUUUGACCUAUGUACCAGGCCCAGUCAGAACUAAAUUUAUUUGCUCGAUUAAGUUCUAUGUCAAACAAAUAAGAAAUCAGGAAACAAACUGCUAGACAAAAAGUAAGACAUUGUUCCAUGUAUUUGUCUGGUUAAUAUCUAGAACAUAGGAUUAUAUAAUCACUUAUAUUAAAUGGUGCAUCAUCAUCAUCUCAGUUCCACGAGACCUUGAAAGAUCUACGACUGCUGAUCGGUCCCUGAAGUCAUUCUUGCAGUUAUAGUUAUUAGACUUGUCCAAGUGGGAGACUAUUGGAUUAGGUGUUUAAGUUCAUAACUAUUCCUGGAAUGUACUUGACCUGAUUAGCAUGGUGCAUUUGGGUUGCAUGGCAUUGCAACAUUUGGAUAGACUAAAUCUGAGAAAGGAUACUUAAGGUUUAUUAAUGUAUUAUAAGUUCUAACAAAUUAAUAAUAGUAUUUAAUUAGUAUUGAUCAAAGAAUUAAUUUGGAAUUAAUUAAGUGAUCAUAAAGAGACUAAUUAAAUAUAUGGGAUUGAUUGUGUAAAUCAUCUAAUCUUGUAUAGUGGGAUAAUGAUCCAUGGUUUAUGUGGAUUGGGUGAAAACCCAUAUGGUGCUCCAUGGGUAGUCCAUGGAGGUUACAAACCCAUGGAUCAUGGAAUAUGAAAAGCCGUGACUAUUAGGGUUUACAUGGUGUAACCCUACUUGUAACACAACUAUAUAAAGACUCCAUGGAUGUCCAAAAUCGACACUACAAGCAUGUAAUAGAGCGCUAGCUGAUUUUGAGGUGUAAGUGAACUUCUCUCAAAAUUAUUCUAAGUGUUGUGGUGUUGUCUGAGACAUUUGAGGCAUCACACUUGAGGUGCUAGGCUCACAUGGUUUUCAAGGAAUCCAAGCAACAAAAAGGUAUGUUCUUCUACUAGCAUUUAUGUUUUAAAGUUCCCCAUGCCAUGUUAGUUAAGUUAAGAACCUUAGAAAAUCAUUUUGCAUGUAUCUUAGUAAAACAUAGAUCCAAGGUUUCUAGCCUUGCAUGUACACCUUAGGAGUGUUAGAAUGCUCAAAAACCCUCCAUACUUGUCGUUCGGGGAUUUGCUACUAAUGUGGCAAGGAGGGGCACAUGGCGAAGGAUUUCCCCAAGGGGUUCUCGGUUUGCUUUCAUGGCAACCAGACCGGCCACCGGAAUGCCGAGUGUCCUUAGCUUGUGCAGGGAUCAGCCCAGGGAUCUGGAUCUACUAUAAUGUGUGCUACUAAGAUCCGGACAGCAAAGGCCGAGACACCGAGGGUUUGUGGGAGAGCCUUUCAGCUGAUAGCGGAGGAGGUCCACACAACACCAGAUGUUGUGGCUGGUACGUAUUCUUAUUAUAUUCUUAUUAUAUUGUGAUUGUGUAUAGGUACUUUUCUUGUGAGCUAUGUGUUUGCCUUGGUGUUAUUUGACACGGGUGCAAUUCGAUCCUUCGUAUCAUUAGCAUUUAGUCGUUACAUCAAUAUCCGACGAGUGGCAUUGAGUCGACCUCUAAGAGUCUCCAUAGCCGAUGAGCAUGCGGUGUUUGCGACUGAUGUGAUUCGUGGAUGUGUGCUUCAGAUUUUCAGAGUUGAGUUUCCGAUAGAUCUGGUACCGAUCACGAUGAGGGAUGUUUGUGUCAUCGUGGGCAUUGAUUGGUUGAGUUGAUUUGGAGCUAUGAUCGACUGUGAGCGUCAGCUGAUGACCAUUCGAGACCCUAGUGGGGGAGUGCUUACAGUGUAUGGCGAGGGUACUCGAUCUGGGUCAACAUUUUGUUUGGCCGCCAGAGCGAGACAGAGUCUACAGCAGGGUUGUAUGGGGUUUCUGGCGUAUGUGAUGGAUUCGUGGGCUAUUGUAGAGAGAUCGAGUUCUAACUCCGAGGUUCUGAUAGUGUGCGAGUUUCCAGAUGUUUUUCCCGAAGAGUUGCCGAGAGUGCCUCCCGAGAGGCAGGUAGAGUUUUGGAUCGAUUUGGUGCCAGGAGCGGCGCCUAUUGCCAAGCCACCUUAUCUCCAUGCACCUCCAGAGAUGUAGGAGUUAUCCUCGAGCUGUUAGGGAAAGGGUUUAUCAUGCCAAGUAGCUCGUUGUGGGGAGCUUCGAUCCUUUUUUUUCAAGAAAAAGGAUGGGUCACACCAGAUGUGCAUUGAUUACUGGGAAUUGAACAAGCUGACGUUCAAGAACCGUUAUCCACUUCCGAGGAUCGACGAUCUGCUCGGUCAUCAUGUUCAUCGAUUAUAUCUUGGUGUACUCGAGAUCCAGAGAGCAACAUGAGGAGCACCUGAGGGAGAUUUUGGUGUACUGAGAUCGGACAGGCUCUAUGCCAAAUUCUCCAAGUGUGAUUUUUGGUUAUGAGAGGUCCAGUUCGUGGGACACCUCGUUAAUCAGAAUGGUAUUUUGAUCGAUCCGGUCAAGAUUGAGGCAGUUAUGAGAUGGGAGGUGCCGAGAUCCCCCACCAAGAUCGGGAGUUUUCUAGGACUGGCCGGAUACUAUCAGAGAUUUACCAGAGAUUUCUCCAAGAUUGUCGUCCCUCUCACCAGUUUAGCCCAGAAGGGCAUUGCAUUUACUUGAGGUCCCGAGCAGGAGACCUCAUUUGAGACCCUUCUCCUGAGAUUAUGCGAGGCUCCCGUAUUGGCCCUUCCGGAGGGAAUGGAAGAUUUUGUGGUUUAUUGCAAUGCAUCUAUUAUGGGCAUGGGUGCGGUGUUGAUGCAGAGAGGGCAUGUGAUAGCGUACGCCUCAAGACAGUUGAAACCUCAUGAGACAAGAUAUCCCACCCACAAUCUAGAGCUUGGGGCGGUGGUGUUUGGCCUCAAGAUCUUGCAUCACUAUCUGUAUGGGGUUCGGUGUACCAUAUACACGGACCAGAAAAGUUGUAAGUAUCUUAUGGAUUAGCCCAACCUUAACAUGAGACAGAGAAGACGGUUGGAUGUGGUGAAAUAUUAUGACUGUGAGAUCCUGUAUCAUCCGGGCAAGGCUAAUCUGGUAGCUAACGCCCUGAUCCGUAGAGCAGAGACUACCCCGAUCCGAGACGUGUGUUUGAGGAUGACAGUGAUGACUCCAGUAUUAUAUAUCAUUUGAGAGGCUCAGGCGGAGUCCUUGAGACCGGAGAACCACAAGAUGGAGUGGGUGAUUAGGCAAGUGUUCGAGUUUGUGAUGGACAUACGAGGGCUUACGACCUUUUGAGGGAGGAUUUGGGUUCCCUAUACAUGUGGAGCUCAACGUACACUGAUGGAUGAGGCGCAUAGAUCAAGAUUCUCGAUCCAUCUCGGGGCCACUAAGAUGUAUUUGGACCUGAAGAGAGAUUAUUGGUGGCCCUGUAUGAAGAGGGAUGUUGCUUGCGUAGUCGAGAGGUGCUUGACCUGUCGUCGGGUUAUGGCCGAGCACCAGCAUCCUCAUGGCAAGUUGCCGACAUUGGAGGUCCCCUAGUGGAAAUGGGAACAAAUUUCCAUGGAUUUUAUCACCAAGUUGCCGAGAACUGCAAGGGGUGUCAACGCGAUUUGGGUGAUUGUGGAUCGGUUGACGAAGAGCGCUCACUUUCUUGCUAUUAGUCAAAGAAACAUAGUGUGUGGUUUACCGGCACAUCGAAUAGGUGACCGUAACAUGUGAGGGCACCAUGUAAGUUUGCAUGGUUAUUCACACCCGCUUUGUGAUCCUCGGCAUCCCAGUCACAAACUAGAGGGGCAUAUCGAGAUUUAAACAUGCCAUUGAAAGUUCAAUGAAUCUCAAAGGAUCUAGGAGUUUUCAUAGAUUUAAAACUUAAAUUUCUUUUUCGUUUUUCGUGGUUGAAAUUAGUGAAUCGUCAUUCACUUACCUUCAAAUAUUCUGCAAUUAGGGUUACAGCAUCCCUCUCCCGAGUUGUGGAAUAUUGUGUUGGGUCCUAGCCUUAGUAUCUCAUUUGGGUGAUUUACUAAGGACUCAAUCAAUCAACUAACUUGAAUUUGUUUUCUCCCGUUUUGUAGAUGUCAAAGUACGACAACUAUGGUCUUCCCAAAUCCCGUGGAACAAGCUUUCCACAUGAAGAUGAUAUUCCACGAUUUGAUCGAGGAACGAGAGAUCAUGCUUCACUUCCUCCACCUCCUCCAAUUAUUCUCCCUAACCCACAAGUUCGAAGGCUUGAAAAGUUCAAACUCACUCAAGCCCUUUUGGCAAGUAAUCAUAAAAAAGGAGAGUCAGUGUGUGCACACGUCCUAGGGAUGAAGUCACACAUUGAUAGGUUAGGAAUGUUGGGAUCCGUUGUCUGUGAGAAGAUGGCUGUUGAUUGGGUUCUUCAGCCACUUCCUAACUCAUAUAGUGAGUUCGUAAGAGAGUACUAUAUGAUGAACUGCGACGUGACCCUUAUAGAUCUCACCUAUAUGCUUAUUGCUGCUGAAUCAGCAAUGGUUUGGCGCAAUAGAAAAGCAAAGUUGAUUGGUGAAUCUGCCUUCAAGACCUCUAUGGAUAUAGACAAUGGCAACGAAAGACAUGCUAUGAUCGAAAAGUUUGAUCAUAAGAGAAAGGCAAUGUCUGAAGUAGUUCCAUGUCCUGUUCCAAAAGAGUCAAUUUGCUUUUAUUGCCAAGAGAAGGGGCAUUGGAGACGAAGCUGCCCCAUUUACCUAAGAGAUCUAAGAGAUGGGAGAGUCGAAACGUAUGGCUCUAAUAUAGGUAAAAUCCAUUAACUAACUCUUUUAAGCUUCUAUUCUAGAUUCUUAAUACAUAAUGUGAUAAGAUUACAAUUGAUGUUUUGUAGGAUCGAAGAAAAGAAAGGAAGCUUAAGGGAAGAAGUGAGCAGAAUCUAACCGUGAAGGAAUGGAUUUCGAUCGCAUUUCUCGAAGAUUAGAUUCUUGAGCUACUACUUAGAGUUAGAAUUAGAUUGCUAAGAAAGAUGUAUUAGCAUAAGUUUUUCAAUGAAUUGCAUUGUAAGGACAAAUUUUUCCGCAAUAAAAUAAAUUUUGAUUUUAAAUUUUAUUUAUUUAUCCUUACAAUGGCGUGUAUGAAAAAUUGAUGUUAAAAUGUUUCUAUUAUUAGCAAUAAUGGAUUUGGUUCUUAUUAUGUUAUUUAUGGAAAGUCGAGAAUUUACCAAAUAGGGAGAGUUUCUCAUCGCCCAAGUUUCAAUUGGACAGAAACUUGGAAUCAUGCAACUUGGUUGCACGAUGAAUGAGAAAUUUCAUAUUUGGAAAUUAGACUAAUUCAUUGACAAAGUGUCAAGUGAAGGACUAGGAGAUCGAGUACACAAAGUUGCGUGUUGAUCAAGUCCACCAUAAGAGUAACAAAGAUAUUCGUCAUGAUUUACUAAAGGUUUAGUAAAUAUGAUUAUACUUAUAAGAUUAAGUGUAAUUCUGAAUUGAUUGAAAAGGUUUAAAUCAAUAGCAGAACGAAUAAGAAGAAUCAAGUAGGCAGAAAGAUAAAAGUUUCUCCAUUCUAAGAAGAAGGGAGAGUACCUUUUAUGCUUUAUGAUAGGUCUUAAUGAUUAAGAACCAUAUCUCAAUUGAUCCUCUAAGUGAGUCUUAGUACAAUUGUAUGUCUAAGAAGAGGAAUCAAGAAUUGAAGAAAUGGUUAAAUCAAUAAGUCAAUCAUACUUCGUUCCAAUAACAAGUCUUAAAGUUAAGAUUGUGACAUUGAGUGAAAGGUAUUAAGAAGGUUUAUAACUUUCAUCAAAUGUGGAAAGUUGUGAUGUCUUGGAUAAGACAAAGACCAACUAGGACCAAUUUAUGAAGUGUUUUGAUAAAAGCUACACUAACUCUUGAAUAUUUGUUUGUCAAGAAAUGGUUAUUGACAAGAGAAUCUUAUAUGUCAAGGAGUCAGUGGGAGUCUUAAUGGUCUUGAAAGGUUUCAAGAACAAAUCAAAUAAACCUUAUCGAUCAUCACUAGCACACGAGUUGAGGUUUACAACCUAUCGUGUUGACAUUAUUUUGAUUCUGUGCCAAUCCAAUCGAGUUAAUUAUGCAUGUGAGUUCUAUGAGUUCUCAUUUUGAACGCAUAAAAGGCAAAGCACCUUAAUCAAUGAAAGGUACAUUGAUAGGAAAAGGUGAGCUGCUUAACUACUUGGAAGACAUGGUGGGCAGCUGUGCUACCAUAAGGCAAGAAAUCAAGAUUAAGAAAGUUCGGUCCAUAUGAGUUUGAAUUUGUCGUAAACUUUGGUUUUAACAAAUUCACAUGGAUAGGAACACAUACACCGUUUAAAUCUAAGUGUCAUAAGAUUUCCUCCUUCAUGAAAAUGAUUGUGAGGAAAUGCUUUCACUAAGAAAGAUUUUAAGAAGAUAGUGAUUGUAAAAUUGCAUUCUCGAAUUCAAUUAUGGUUACGGCAUCCCUUUCCAUAAUUUGAAUUGUGAGGUUUGGCAAUUAGUCUUAAUUGUUUAGACACACAUAUGAACUAUCGAAGGCAAAGGUGUAUAAGUUCAAGAAGCAUUGAUAAAGGAUUAUCAAAGCACUAAGUAUUAGAAACAUGAACUUAAGAAAUUCAAUAAGUAUUGUUUUCUGAAAGUUAAGAUGUUUAUGAAUACAUGUCGAAGCUAGUGGGAGCAUAAGUGUUAUGUUUUAUAAUAAUCAUCAUGAUAGUGGGAGCAUAAAUGUUAUGAUUGUAUGAUUAUUAAGGAAAGUAUUGCAAGGUUAGCAAUAUUAAUUAUAGAAAACAAGAGUCAUACUUUGCAAAGUUGUAAGAGUUGAAAAGUUGUUUUGCUAUAAUUAAGGGAGAGAAUAUUAUGCUUCAUUUCAAAUCUAAAGGAUUAGGUUGAGAAAUGUUAAUAAAUUUAGUCAAAGGUACAUAGUGUGUUCUUAAAAUUUCGAUUAUGAUUACGGCAUCCCUCUUCACAAUUCGAAUUUUGAGAACAUAGCAAAUAAAACAUUAUGCGUCGUGUCCCAUACGCUUCGGGUAUAGGAUCGAUUGCAAAUGCUUUAAUGUUUGACCAUUCUAAAAUUUUCCAAAUGUCGAGCGCAUUUAGAGGGAAAAGGGACUAGAAUUGGUUUUGACUAAAAUAAUUAAACAACUAUCAAAGGACAACCCAAGUUCGACGAGGAUUGGUCGCUUGUGAGUAGUUGGAAGUAUAGUAUUGGAAAAUAUGGAAAUGUUUCCAUAUUGGAUGGACCAUAUCGACAUCAUUACGAAUAGAUAAGAUUCUAUUAAGAAUGAGUUGUCAUAUGGAACAUAUGGAAGUGUGUCCAUAUUGGGAAUUGAAUAUUGAGAAAUCUAUGACUAGAUUAGAAACUUCUAUGCAAAAGGAUGUUCAAAGAAUGUACUUUGAGUGAGAGACAUCACAUCUAUGGAAUUGUCUUGUAACAAUCUCCGAUAGAGGACUUUGUAAUAUCAUUGGCAAUAGUCUUUGUGACUUUGGUGCAGUGACAUUACGAAAGGAUAGUUGCAUAGAAUGUUAGAAUCUAGCAUAUUCUAUAAGUAGCAAGAAUUUGAUAUUCUUUCACUUUGGAAAAGGAUUUGGAGUUGUGAAAUGAGAAUGAUUGGAAAUGUGUUCAAUUUGAUCUAUUUCACAAAGUAAGAACCAUAGGUAAACAUUGUGUGCAUGCUAGGAGCAUGGGACAAGUGUAAUAAUUCAAGUAAGAAGUUGAUUACCCGAAACGACAAAUAAUGAGUAAUCGAUAUGGUGAUAAAUAAAAGGUGUUUUAUUUAUACUCAAAGGUUUGAGGCCAUAUGGGAUUAGUAUUAUUCUUGUGUUUCACAUUUGCAUGUUUUGACUUCCAGAAUAAUUGAGUUUAUUAAGAAUAAUCGAAUUAUUCGAACGGGCCACAGUCGUUCAUAUGUUGGAAGUAGAUAUGAAUGAAGACUGUCGUGAAUUGGUGUGUGGAUUGUCUAAAGAGUAUUAGACAUAAGCAAAUGUUUGCUGCAACGUUCAUGAGUGCUUAUGAAUAUGAUUUGAGCAUUGGAUUAAACCCACGCUCACUUGGAUCACUCCAUGAAUUGUAUCACGAGUGAUUGGUGAGACGAUAACAUCUUAUAUUCUUGAAACCGAGAUGUGUGAGUUGUAUCUUGCAAAUCGGUUGCACAUUGAUAAUAUGUAAACGCACUAGUAACUUGGUGUUAUAAAACAUAUUGUUGUGUGUGAUUCGGUGAGUGAGUGCAAGCAAGCAUUGUAUCAAAGUUUAUCCGUUCCUUUUAUCCAAAGUAGGAUAAAAGCGAUAUCUUUGGGCCCCUCGAUGAUUUAGUGAUGACAAACGUAAAUGCUCGGCCGGGCUAGGGCUAAUUUGAUUUGUUCAAUUAGUCAGUCGUCAUAAAUCGGGAAUCGAGAUAUAGUACAAAGAGAAUGAUUUGAAAUCAUAUCUCAUAUGAUAUCUAGAAUGGAGGAAUAUAUGAUCCCUUAUCUAAGGACACGCGUAUCUGAUAGGAUCAGAGUUGACAGCGGCUUUGGAAAGCUACGAUUGCAGAUCAGGAUCUGAAGUCAUACGCAUAAUAGUUAUUAGACUUAUCCAAGUGGGAGACUGUUGGAUUAGUGUCUAAGUCCAUAACUAUUUUGGUAUGUACUUGACCCGAUGGUGCAUGGUCCUUUUGGGUUGCCUUCACCAAAGCAACUUGAUAGGAUGAAUUAUGGAGAGAAAGGAUUAAAUAUGAUUUAUUAAUAUAUUAUGAGAAUAAUAUAUUAAAGGAGAAAUCAUAUUGUUUAAUUAAUAUUAGUCAAUAAUUAAUUGGUAAUUAGUUUUGUGACUAAAAGAGAUUAAUUAAACUUAAGGGACUGGAAUUGUAAUUAUAAGAUAAUUGCAAUUUGGGCCAUGGAUUGUCUUAAAUCAAGAGGUGGACGAAUUCUUAUGGGAAGCCCAUAAGGAAAUCGUCCAAGGGCUUGAUUAAAGGAGUCUAUGGGUUGCUUAGGGCUUAAGCAACCAAAUUAGGGUUUCCUUGUUAGAUAACCCUAAUAGCCUCACUAUAUAUAGAACCCUUAAGGCUCAAAAACGUGGGGAACUUCUUUUCUAGGGUUAGAACACGUUUUGGGCAGCCUCCAUCCUCUCUCCUCUUCAUCCUCUUGCUUAUGGUGUUUGUGAACCAUUAGAGGAGUGACACUUGUGACUCUAAGCCUUCCAAAGUCAAUUCAAGGAGGAAUUGGGAUUGUUAUUGCUACAUAACAAUCAAGGUAAUAUCUUAAACCUAAUUAUAUGUUAAUAUUGAUUUCCAUAUGCUAGAAUUAGGGUUUAUAGUCUUGGAUUCAAAGCAUGUACAAUAGAGAAACCUAGAUCCAAGCAUUAGGGUUUGUAUGAGCACAUAGGAUGUCUUAUGACCAAAACCCAUCAGUGGUAUCAGAGCCUAGACUGGUUUCAAUUGUAUUGAUGCAUUACAUGUUCAAAAAAUUCGAUUUUUGAUGUUCUGGAGGCUGGACUCGCCGAGUCCAUAGCUGAACUCGCCGAGUCCAUGCAGACUCGACGAGUCCAAGCCUGACUCGACGAGUCAACUCGUCAGAUGGAGGGUAUUUCGGGAUUUCUUGCUGUUUUUGCUUAUGGAUAGUUACCUUAUCAUGUUAGAUCAAUAUUAAUCCGAUUUUAUGAUAUAUUUGACUAUAUUUUUGAUCUAAUUGAAGAUAUUUAUCAAUUAAUAAGAUAAUUGUUUCCUUAUGUGAUAAUUGAUUAAUUAUUUUGACUAAAUUGAUAAAUUGUUUUGCAAGAAAUCAUUAAAUAAAUCAAAUAUGGAUAAUUAUGUGAUUAAAUGUUAAUUUAGAUUAUUUGUUAUUUGAUCCUUGUUGUUAUGAAAAGUUUCAUAUUUUCCCCUUUAGGUUUUAUAGUUUAAAUUUGAACCCAAAAGUUUUGUUGUUUUGAAAUUUAAAUAGUUGAAACCCUAAUGUUUUGAAAAAGGUUUCAAAACUUGCCCUCAAGUUUUGGAAUUUAAAUUUUGAUUAAAUGGUUUAAUUUUGAUGUAUAUUUAAAUUCUAAACCCUAAUGUGUUGAAAUGUUUCAAAACUUGCCCUCAAGUUUUGGAAUUUAAAAGUUGAUUAAAAGUUUAAUUAGGAAUGUUAAAUUCUAAAACUCUAGUAUAGUUUUGAAAAAGUUCAAAUCACACCCUUAUGGUUUUAUUAAUUAAUUAAGGUGUAUAAUUAAAAGAGGUUUAAUAAAUCCAUAAAAGUUUUGGUUUACAAUUUAAUUGAAUUAAAAGUAUAAUUGUUAAAUUUGACCACCUAGUAUUUUAAAAGUGUAAAAUACACCCUAUACUAUAUAUAACAUUAAAAGUCUAACAUUAUAUAUAUGUAUGAGUAAAAGUCAGUCUUACCGUUAGUAGGCCUCAUUCACGAAGCUGGUCUAUAAGGGGUGUUUAAGGAAAUUGCCUAUAAAAUGGCGAUUGAAUGGGUAUCCACUCUUACCCACCGCACUCUUGACUAGUGGAGGGUCGUUAGCCGAACGGGUAGGAUAGGACGAAACCUUCCAUUAUAAGUAUAAUGAAGUAUAAAAGUAACUAAAUGUUUUCAUAAAAUUCCCAAUCUUAGUUACUUAGGCAAAAGUGAAUUGAUGCAAUUCCAUGAAAUUACACUUUGUGCCCUUGCGAAGACGUUAGUGGAGCGUGUGUGGUUUACCGGCACACUAAAUGGUUCUAAGCAAAGGUAGCAAAGGGUGACUCAAUGUUUGUCAUAGUUCGGUGGAGCGUGUGUGGUUUACCGGCACAUCGAAUAGGUGACUGUAACAUGUGAGGGCACCAUGUAAGUUUGCAUGGUUAUUCACACCCGCUUUGUGAUCCUCGGCAUCCCAGUCACAAACAAGAGGGGCAUAUCGAGAUUUAAACAUGCCAUUGAAAGUUCAAUGAAUCUCAAAGGAUCUAGGAGUUUUCAUAGAUUUAAAACUUAAAUUUCUUUUUCGUUUUUCGUGGUGGAAAUUAGUGAAUCGUCAUUCACUUACCUUCAAAUAUUCUGCAAUUAGGGUUACGGCAUCCCUCUCCCGAGUUGUAGAAUAUUGUGUUGGGUCCUAGCCUUAGUAUCUCAUUUGGGUGAUUUACUAAGGACUCAAUCAAUCAACUAACUUGAAUUCGUUUUCUCCCGUUUUGUAGAUGUCAAAGUUCGACAACUAUGGUCUUCCCAAAUCCCGUGGAACAAGCUUUCCACAUGAAGAUGAUAUUCCACGAUUCGAUCGAGGAACAAGAAAUCAUGCUUCACUUCCUCCACCUCCUCCAAUUAUUCUCCCUAACCCACAAGUUCAAAGGCUUGAAAAGUUCAAGAUCACUCAAGCCCUUUUGGCAAGUAAACAUAAAGAAGGAAAGUCGGUGUGUGCACACGUCCUAGGGAUGAAGUCACACAUUGAUAGGUUAAGAAUGUUGGGAUCCGUUGUCUGUGAGGAGAUGGCUGUUGAUUGGGUUCUUCAGUCACUUCCUAACUCAUAUAGUGAGUUCGUAAGAGAGUACUAUAUGAUGAACUGCGACGUGACCCUUAUAGAUCUCACCUAUAUGCUUAUUGCUGCUGAAUCAGCAAUGGUUUGGCGCAAUAGAAAAGCAAAGUUGAUUGGUGAAUAUGCCUUCAAGACCUCUAUGGAUAUAGACAAUGGCAACGAAAGACAUGUUAUGAUCGGAAAGUCUGAUCAUAAGAGAAAGGCAAUGUCUGAAGUAGUUCUAUAUCCUGUUCCAAAAGAGUCAAUUUGCUUUUAUUGCCAUGAGAAGGGGCAUUGGAAACGAAGCUGUCCUAUUUACCUAAGAGAUCUAAGAGAUGGGAGAGUCAAAACGUAUGGCUCUGCUUUAGGUAAAAUCCAUUGACUAACUCUUUUAAGCUCCUAUUCUAGAUUUUUAAUACAUAAUGUGAUAACAUUACAAUUGAUGUUUUGUAGAAUCAAAGAAAAGAGAGGAAGCUUAAGGGAAGAAGUGAGCAGAAUCUAACCGUGAAGAAAUGGAUUUCGAUCGCAUUACUUGAAGAUUAGAUUCUUGAGCUACUACUUAGAGUUAGAAUUAGAUUGCUAAGAAANNNNNNNNNNNNNNNNNNNNNNNNNNNNNNNNNNNNNNNNNNNNNNNNNNNNNNNNNNNNNNNNNNNNNNNNNNNNNNNNNNNNNNNNNNNNNNNNNNNNNNNNNNNNNNNNNNNNNNNNNNNNNNNNNNNNNNNNNNNNNNNNNNNNNNNNNNNNNNNNNNNNNNNNNNNNNNNNNNNNNNNNNNNNNNNNNNNNNNNNNNNNNNNNNNNNNNNNNNNNNNNNNNNNNNNNNNNNNNNNNNNNNNNNNNNNNNNNNNNNNNNNNNNNNNNNNNNNNNNNNNNNNNNNNNNNNNNNNNNNNNNNNNNNNNNNNNNNNNNNNNNNNNNNNNNNNNNNNNNNNNNNNNNNNNNNNNNNNNNNNNNNNNNNNNNNNNNNNNNNNNNNNNNNNNNNNNNNNNNNNNNNNNNNNNNNNNNNNNNNNNNNNNNNNNNNNNNNNNNNNNNNNNNNNNNNNNNNNNNNNNNNNNNNNNNNNNNNNNNNNNNNNNNNNNNNNNNNNNNNNNNNNNNNNNNNNNNNNNNNNNNNNNNNNNNNNNNNNNNNNNNNNNNNNNNNNNNNNNNNNNNNNNNNNNNNNNNNNNNNNNNNNNNNNNNNNNNNNNNNNNNNNNNNNNNNNNNNNNNNUGACAUUGAGUGAAAAGUAUUAAGAAGGUUUAUAACAUUCAUCAAAUGAGGAAAGUUGUGAUGUCUUGGAUAAGACAAAAACCAACUAGGGCCUAUUUAUGAAGUGUUUUGAUAAAAACUGCACUAACUCAUGAAUAUUUGUUUGUCAAGAAAUGGUUAUUGACAAGANAGGGUUUCCUUGUUAGACAACCCUAAUAGCCUCACUAUAUAAGAACCCUUAUGCGUCAAAAACAUGGACAAGCUUCCUUCUAGGGUUUCCACACAUUUUGGGCAGCCUCCUUCUCUUCUCUUCUUCAUCCUUUUGCUCUUGGUGUUUGUGAACCAUUAGAGGAGUGACAUUUGUGACUCUAAGCUUUCUAAAGUCAUUAUAACGAGGAUUUGAGAUUGUUAUUGCCACAUAACAAUCAAGGUAUGAUCUAAACCCUAAUUAUAUGUUAUAUUGAUUAUCAUAUGCUAGAUCUAGGGUUUAUAGUCUUGGAUAAAUUGCAUGUACAAUAGAGAAACCUAGAUCCAAGCAUUAGGGUUUGUAUGAGCACAUAGGAUGUUCUUAUGGCCAAAACCCAUCAUCAGGUACCAGCGAGGAUCGCGGGAAGGUGCCGGCAUGAGUCAUACACACCGAGGGGUUUUAUGUAUUGAGAUCUUGGGAUUUGUUUUAUUCGGAUAAUAUGUGAAAUAUUGGAUUUUGGUAUUUCUUUAUGAAUGAAUUAUGUGUUUAAAAUGAAAAAUUAUUUCGAAACUUUACGUUGUUACAAUCGGCUUGACCGAUAAUCUCACUGAAGUUCCCUCCCUCGGACUGCCCUCCAUUUAUUUCGGGCUCUUUAAUUGGUAUUGAGAGUUCUUCACGAUUCUGCUAAAGGAGACGUCUAGUUUCUUCCAUCUGACGAUCCAACAUCGUCUGACUCACCAUUUGUACUCCAGUCAUUGUCAUUGGCCCAGGUGCUGCUGCUGCAACAACUACUUGUUCAAUCACAUGUGGUUGAUUCCUGUUUUCGUUCACGUUUCCAGCUCCACUUCUGGUUCUUGCCAUUUUUUAUCUAUACACCGAAUAAGGUGAAUUUAGAUCUCUAUUUCGAUAGACGUUCAAAUCAUCCUUAUUACUCUGAAACGUUUACAUGCUAGUUCUAAUACUGUAGUCAUACGCUUAGAAUCCUUCAUACAUAAGGUCUCCAGAUCGGGUUGGCAACAAGCCAUAGAUCCGAACAAAUAAAAUCAUAUAUGGCAAACAUAUAACAUUUAGCACAUAAAAGCAUUUUAGGCAUCAUUCCUAAAAUAUACUAGUGCUUGUGUCCAUUUAGGUGUACUACCUAACAUAUUUUAGACACACUCCUCAUGAUCAUUACUUAGCAUUCUAUGUUUAACUCUACAAAUUUCCUACAGAUUCCUAGUUCGCUUAAACUAAUGCUCUGAUACCAACUGUGACAUCCCCAUUUUCACGGCCAGAAAAAACCGAUUUUGUUUAUGCUUUAUUUUAUAAAAUCAGAGUAAUCCUUUGAUUAAAAGAGUUGCGGAAUUUGUUCCCAAAAUAUGAUAAAGAUUUAUCAAAGCAUUUCUGUAGAAAUGUAUUUCACUAAAAAGAUUCAAGAUGUUAUGUUCGAUACAGACCAAAAGCAUAAACAGAACAAAAUUGACCUUACAACAGUUAUUUAUAACUACUGGCCUACAAUCCAAAAUCUCUCGUUACGCCAGCCAACUAAUGCUCUCGUGCCAUAACCUGUAAUACAAAGAAAACUGAGUGGGUCAGGUUUGGGAGCCUGGUGAGCAUAUAGGGUUUUCAACCCACUAUGUUAUAUCAUAUAUGUAUAUAUUAGAACUCACAAACUUAUACAAUUUCACCAUAUAAAACGACUCUUAUCCCACCCCGUCGAUCCUCACAAUGACACGAUCUAAACUCUCGUAUCAAAAUUUUCCUCUUUACCUGAUCCCUACUCACGGAUCUAAAACUAACCUCUUGAUUUGAUCAAUACUCCCAGAUCUAAAACUAAUCUCCUGAUCUAAUCCAUACUCCCGGAUCUAAAACUAUGCCUAAUCCAUAGUCACGGACUAGGGACAAUUAACUAUGUCUUAAUCCAUACUCCUAGAUUAGUAACAAUUUUAUCUCGUUUAUUGACAGUAUCGUUUUCGAGACCCCUCUCGCAAUACGUGUCACUAGGUUUUUCGAGUACACCGGUGAACAUCAAGUUCACAACACCUACAAGUUGUGAACCUACUAGUGUUCCAAUGAACUGUCUAGAAUAGUCUGUGGUUGUCAUCCCUACUCUGCUGAAUGACGGGGGCCAUCGUUUGGGUAAAGGUUUCACUCAUUUUUCACUUGUCACCCUCACCUCAAGAUCUAUAUUACCUUUUAUAUCAUUAUCCAACUCAUCUUUUAUCACACACCAACUAUCUCAUAAACCCCUAUUCUACCCAACAUAUUUGUAGAUAUAAAAUACAUAUACAGUUUAACUCAUUUAAAACUAUAUAAAACAUCCACUCACACUCAUCUCAAAUAAACAACAAUAUAUAAACACAUAACACAUUUUUCAUAGCAAAUACUUCAUAUUUAUGUGUUAGAAGAAAGUGACUACACACUCACUCAUAACAUAGAUGUAAUACAUUCAACCAAUACUUGUAUUAAAAUCGUGUUUAUGAAAGGGACUAUACACUCACCUGAUCAGAAGAUGAUCAGACAACACUAUUGUUCUAAAAGUAGUAUUCUUCAGUGAAACCGAAAUAUCUUCAAGCAUUGGGCUUCUCGUGGGCAGAGCUUCGACUUGAAACUCUUUUCUCCUCGGGAUCUUUGGGGCUUUGGGACUUGCUUUAGGCUUUGGGAUGAUACAGGGGCUUCGGGGGUACUUCAAGACGGCUAGAGAGAGUAUCGUGAGUGAGAGAGAAGAGAUGGAGCAACCAAAUUCGGCUGACCCUCAAUUUCUAUUUAUAGGGCCGAUUUUCCAAUCUCACGUCGUGAGAUUCAAGUGCUCACAUCGUGAGCUUAGCCGUCACUGCGUUCGUCACUCGUCCACUUGCUCUGGAGGGUCUCCAGUCUCUACUCACGUCAUGAGGACCCUGCUCAUGUCGUGAGCUCUGACACAACCUCAGAAUUUGUGUUUCGAAUUUCAGAAAUUCAUAUCAUUCGCAUACAAGCUUCGGUUUCGACAUUCUUUAUAUCCACACGUAGGCGAGAUUAUGCUCUACAACUCUCGUUUAGACUCUGUCGGCUAAUUUUGACUUUAACUUUUAUUAUAUUAUUUUAGUAGGCCGGGACAGGAAAACUCCGUUAGAAAUCUAUAACUCCUUCACCUGACCCGUUUUCGUCUGUCUUUUUACCGUUGGACUACUAUCAACGAGAUCCUCAAUUCUCGUUUAGAUUUUUUCGGCUAUAUAUUGCUCGAUCCCAUAUUCGAACUUUGGGCUGCAUACUGCUAAUUCGAAACUUCGAACAAUCAUAACUUCCUCAUACGAAGUCAGAUUUAGAUGUUCUUUUCAUGGACGCUCUCGGUUUAACGUAUUCUACAACUUUCAUUUAGAUCACUAAGGCUAAAUAUAGCUCUAUCGUAAAUUCACUAUUUAUGUCGCCCUGUGUCGUGUCGGUUCUGUCGUGAAACUUGGACAGGUCAUAACUUCUUCGUUAUAACUUGGAUUUUGGCGUUCUUUAUAAACCCGGAAUCCUUGUCACGACCACUACAACUUCGUUAAGAUUAUUCAUUCUAAAUAAUCUUCUAUCAAAAAGUCAUUUUUGAUGCUCAUUGUCUCUAAAUUGACUAGCCCUGAUCUACGGACGUUACACAUCUAGGGUCGAUCAUACUUUGGAAGUAUUUAAUGAGGUAAGACUGUCAUGAAUCCGACUGUAGAUUGUCUAAAGCAUUUUAGCCGUAGAAAAAGUCUGUUGCAAUGUUCAUGAGUACUCCUGAAAUAAGAUUUGAGUAUUGGAUUAAACCCAUGCUUACUUGAAUCACUUCAUGGAUUUUAUCACGGGUGAUUAGUGAGACGAUAACAUGUUAUAUUCUUGAAACGGAGACAUGUGAUUUGUAAUUUGUAAUUUGCAAGUCAGUUGCACAUUGAUAAUAUGUAAAUGCACCUGUAAUUUGGUGUUAUAAAACAUAUUGUUGUGUGUGAUUUGAUGAGUAAGUACAAGCGAUCAUUUGAGUCGAAGUUUAUCCGUUCCUUUUACCCUAAGAGGGAUAAAAGCGAUAUCUGUGGGCCCCUCGAUGAUUUAAUGAUGACACCCUAUGCGCUUGGCCAAGCCUGGACUAAGUAGAUGUGUUCAAUUGUAGUCUGUUGUCAGUCGUCAUAAAUCGGAAAUCGGGAAACAACAUAUAGACAGAGAGAAUGAUUAUAAUCCAUGUCUCAGUCUAUACGAUAUCUAGAAUGGAGGAGUGUAUGAUCCUUUAUCUAAAGGACGCGUUACUGAUAAGAUCAGAGUUGACAACGACUUUUGAAAGCUACGAUUAUAAGAAUAAUAUAUUAAAUAAGAAAUCAUAUUGUUUAAUUAAUAUUAGUCAUGAAUUAAUUAAGAAUUAAUUUUGUGGCUAAAAGAGAUUAAUUAAAUAAAGGGUACUGAUACUGUAAUUAUAAGAUAGUUACAAAGUUGGGCUUAGGAUCCAUAAAGGAAGCAUGGACAAAUUAUAUAUGGAGGUCCAUAUAGAAAUCUACCAAGGGCCUUAUGGAAGGGUCUUUGGGCUGCUUAAGGAUUAAGCAGUUGGAUUAGGGUUUCCUAGUUGAUAACCCUAGAAGCCUAAGUAUAAAAGGAACCCUUGGGCAAGCCAAAAACACCCCCGACCUUCUAAGAGAAACCCUAGGACGUUUUUGGUGCAUCUUCUGUCUCUCCUUGUUCAUCUUGUUGCUUAUGGUGUUUGUGACUCCAUUAGAGGGGCAACAUUUGAGGAACAAAGCUUUCAGAAGUCAAGAUCAAGAAGUUUUGUGAUUUUUAUUUCUACAUAACAAUCUAGGUAAGAUAUAAACUCUAAUUUUCGAUUAUAGUAUGCUAGAUCUAGGGUUUAUGAGCUUUGGAUGAUUAUUGCAUGUACAACUAGAUAAACUAGAUCCAAAGCUUUAGGGUUAGCAUGUGCACCAUAAGCUUGAUGUAAUGCUCAAAACCAUCAGGUACUCCAAUGCCAAAUAGUCUAGACUUACGAAAGUUAAACUUUAAACCAGAGAAAAUGUGAAACAUUUAAGGAUGCGUGCAAGAUUUUUAAUGCUUUUUUUUUGUCCCAUUCACCCACAAAAAUUACAUCAUCAUAGAAAAGGUGGGAAAUGGAUGGACCGUUGUUUGGUAAAUUAACUUCAAGUACAAGUUCUUUUCCCGAACACUUUUAAGUGCCACAUGAAUAUACUUCACUUAUGAGUAACAGUCGAUCGAGUAUGUUCCUUCCAUUAAUGCAUGUAGAUUGUACUUCAUCCACGACACUACCCACCAUUGAUUUGAGUCUAGACGCCAGAAUCUUGACAACGAUUUUAUAAAUAUAGCAUAUGAGGUUAAUAGGCCAGUAAUCACUAAGACCUAAUGGAUCUUUGAUUUUCGGAAUUAGACUGAUAAACGAAGAAUUACAACCUCUAGCAAUAUAACCAUGCGCUUUAAACGAUUCACAAAAAGAAACACGUCGUGUUUGAUGGUUUCCUAAUUAUGUUUGAGAGCUUUGAACAUGAAACCAUCGGGACUAGGUGCCCUUUUUCCCCAUAAUUCCAGAUAACAUAUUUAACAUCUUCUAAUGUUAUGGGUACAUCUAAACCCAUGUUUUGAUCAAGUGAUAGAGUUUUGAAGAGAUUGUUUAUCAACUUCGUCAUUUCAGGCCAUUUUUCAUGGAAUUUGGCAGCAAAAAAGCCAUGUACCUCCUUCUUGAUUGCAAUUGGUGUUGGAUUAGUGUCUAAGUCCAUAACUAUUUUGGUAUGUACUUGACCCGAUGGUGCAUGGUCCUUUUGGGUUGUCUUCACCAAAGCAACUUGAUUGGAGAAAUAAAUAAAGAAAGAGAGGUUAUUAUGAUUUAUUAAUAUGUUAUAAGAAUAAUAUAUUAAAGGAGAAAUCAUAUUUGUUUAAUUAAUAUUGGUCAAUAAUUAAUUAAGAAUUAAUUUUGUGAUCAAGUGUAAUUAAUUAAACUAGAGGGGCUGAAUUGUAAUUAUGUGAUAGUUACAAAAUAAGGUAAGGAUUAUCUUAUAUAUAUGGUGAACGAAUUUGAGGUGUAAAUCCCUUAGAAUUCGACUAGGAUAAGGAUUUCUAGGACUUAUCUUAUGGUUGCUUGGUGGACAAGCAACUAGAUAAGGAUAAGGACUAAAACCUUAAUCUUUACACCUAUAUAAACCCCCUAAGGCAUAGGAAUUCGUCCAACCCUUCCCAAGAAGUCCUAGGGACGAAUUCUAACACCUCUCCUCUCUCUUUAUACCUUCUCCACUUGCUUAUGGUGUUUGUAAGCCAUUAGAGGAGUGACACUUGUGACUCUCAGCUUUCCAAGGUCAAUUCAAGGAGGAAUUGGAUUGUUAUUGCUAUAUAACAAUCAAGGUAUGUUCUUAAACCUAUUUACAUGUGAAUUCUGAUUUCCAUAUGCUAGAAUUAGGGUUUAUAGUCUUGGAUUCAAAGCAUGUACAAUAGAGAAACCUAGAUCCAAGCAUUAGGGUUUGUAUGAGCACAUAGGAUGUCUUAUGACCAAAACCCAUCAGUGGUAUCAGAGCCUUGAUUGGUUUCUAUUGUAUUGAUGCUUGAUAUAACUGAAAAUCGUGUUUUGGCCUCACUGUUCGACCUGACUCGGCGAGUCACUCUUGGACUCGGCGAGUCAGCCCUACUCGGCGAGUUCCAGAGGGUGACUCGGCGAGUCGGUGCGUCAGACAGUGCUUAUCUCGGGAUUUCUUGCUGUUUUUGCAUUGGGAUAAUUACCUUAUCAUGUUAGAUUAAUAUUAAUCCGAUUAUAUGAUAUAUUUGACUAUAUUUUUAAUCUAAUUGAAGAUAUUUAUCAAUUAAUAAGAUAAUUGUUUCCUUAUAAGAUAAUUGAUUAAUUAUUUUAAGUAAAUUGAUAAAUUAUUUUGCAAGAAAUCAUCAAAUAUGGAUAAUUAUGUGAUUAAAUGUUAAUUUGAAUUAUUUGUUAUUUGAUCCUUGUUGUUGUGAAAAGUUUCAUAUUUGGCCCUUUAGGUUUUAUAGUUUAAAUUUGAACCCCAAAAGUUUUGUUGUUUUGAAAUUUAAAUAGUUGAAACCCUAAUGUUUUGAAAAAGGUUUCAAAACUUGCCCUCAAGUUUUGGAAUUUAAAUUUUGAUUAAAUAGUUUAAUUUUGAUGCAUAUUUAAAUUCUAAACCCUAAUGUGUUGAAAUGUUUCAAAACUUGCCCUCAAGUUUUGGAAUUUAAAAGUUGAUUAAAAGUUUAAUUAGGAAUGUUAAAUUCUAAAACUCUAGUAUAGUUUUGAAAAAGUUCAAAUCACACCCUUAUGGUUUUAUUAAUUAAUUAAGGUGUAUAAUUAAAAGAGGUUUAAUAAAUCCAUAAAAGUUUAGGUUUACAAUUUAAUUGAAUUAAAAGUAUAAUUGUUAAAUUAGACCACCUAGUAUUUUAAAAGUAUAAAAUACACCCUAUACUAUAUAUAACAUUAAAAGUCUAACAUUAUAUAUAUGUAUGAGUAAAAGUCAGUCUUACCGUUAGUAGGCCUCAUUCACGAAGCUGGUCUAUAAGGGGUGUUUAAGGAAAUUGCCUAUAAAAUGGCGAUUGAAUGGGUAUCCACUCUUACCCACCGCACUCUUGACUAGUGGAGGGUCGUUAGCCGAACGGGUAGGAUAGGACGAAACCUUCCAUUAUAAGUAUAAUGAAUUAUUAAAGUAACUAAAUGUUUUCAUAAAAUUCCCAAUCUUAGUUACUUAGGCAAAAGUGAAUUGAUGCAAUUCCAUGAAAUUACACUUUGUGCCCUUGCGAAGACGUUAGUGGAGCGUGUGUGGUUAACCGGCACACUAAAUGGUUCUAAGCAAAGGUAGCAAAGGGUGACUCAAUGUUUGUCAUAGUUCGGUGGAGCGUGUGUGGUUUACCGGCACAUCGAAUAGGUGACUGUAACAUGUGAGGGCACCAUGUAAGUUUGCAUGGUUAUUCACACCCGCUUUGUGAUCCUCGGCAUCCCAGUCACAAACAAGAGGGGCAUAUCGAGAUUUAAACAUGCCAUUGAAAGUUCAAUGAAUCUCAAAGGAUCUAGGAGUUUUCAUAGAUUUAAAACUUAAAUUUCUUUUUCGUUUUUCAUGGUGGAAAUUAGUGAAUCGUCAUUCACUUACCUUCAAAUAUUCUGCAAUUAGGGUUACGGCAUCCCUCUCCCGAGUUGUAGAAUAUUGUGUUGGGUCCUAGCCUUAGUAUCUCAUUUGGGUGAUUUACUAAGGACUCAAUCAAUCAACUAACUUGAAUUCGUUUUCUCCCGUUUUGUAGAUGUCAAAGUUCGACAACUAUGGUCUUCCCAAAUCCCGUGGAACAAGCAUUCCACAUGAAGAUGAUAUUCCACGAUUCGAUCGAGGAACAAGAAAUCAUGCUUCACUUCCUCCUCCUCCUCCAAUUAUUCUCCCUAACCCACAAGUUCAAAGGCUUGAAAAGUUCAAGAUCACUCAAGCCCUUUUGGCAAGUAAACAUAAAGAAGGAAAGUCGGUGUGUGCACACGUCCUAGGGAUGAAGUCACACAUUGAUAGGUUAAGAAUGUUGGGAUCCGUUGUCUGUGAGGAAAUGGCUGUUGAUUGGGUUCUUCAGUCACUUCCUAACUCAUAUAGUGAGUUCGUAAGAGAGUACUAUAUGAUGAACCGCGACGUGACCCUUAUAGAUCUCACCUAUAUGCUUAUUGCUGCUGAAUCAGCAAUGGUUUGGCGCAAUAGAAAAGCAAAGUUGAUUGGUGAAUCUGCCUUCAAGACCUCUAUGGAUAUAGACAAUGGCAACGAAAGACAUGCUAUGAUCGAAAAGUUUGAUCAUAAGAGAAAGGCAAUGUCUGAAGUAGUUCCAUGUCAUGUUCCAAAAGAGUCAAUUUGCUUUUAUUGCCAAGAGAAAGGGCAUUGGAGACGAAGCUGCCCCAUUUACCUAAGAGAUCUAAGAGAUGGGAGAGUCGAAACGUAUGGCUCUAAUAUAGGUAAAAUCCAUUAACUAACUCUUUUAAGCUUCUAUUCUAGAUUCUUAAUACAUAAUGUGAUAAGAUUACAAUUGAUGUUUUGUAGGAUCGAAGAAAAGAAAGGAAGCUUAAGGGAAGAAGUGAGCAGAAUCUAACCGUGAAGGAAUGGAUUUCGAUCGCAUUUCUCGAAGAUUAGAUUCUUGAGCUACUACUUAGAGUUAGAAUUAGAUUGCUAAGAAAGAUGUAUUAGCAUAGUUUUUCAAUGAAUUGCAUUGUAAGGACAAAUUUUUUCCGCAAUAAAAUAAAUUUUGAUUUUAUAUUAUUUAUUUAUCCUUGCAAUGGCGUAUAUGAAAAAUUGAUGUUUGAAUGUUUCUAUUAUUAGCAAUAAUGGAUUUGGUUCUUAUUAUGUUAUUUAUGGAAAGUCGAGAGUUUACCAAAUAGGGAGAGUUUCUCAUCGCCCAAGUUUCAAUUGGACAGAAACUUGGAAUCAUGCAACUUGGUUGCACGAUGAAUGAGAAAUUUCAUAUUUGGAAAUUAGACUAAUUCAUUGACAAAGUGUCAAGUGAAGGACUAGGAGAUCGAGUACACAAAGUUGCGUGUUGAUCAAGUCCACCAUAAGAGUAACAAAGAUAUUCGUCAUGAUUUACUAAAGGUUUAGUAAAUAUGAUUAUACUUAUAAGAUUAAGUGUAAUUCUGAAUUGAUUGAAAAAGUUUAAAUCAAUAGCAGAACGAAUAAGAAGAAUCAAGUAGGCAGAAAGAUAAAAGUUUCUCCAUUCUAAGAAGAAGGGAGAGUACCUUUUAUGCUUUAUGAUAGGUCUUAAUGAUUAAGAACCAUAUCUCAAUUGAUCCUCUAAGUGAGUCUUAGUACAAUUGUAUGUCUAAGAAGAGGAAUCAAGAAUUGAAGAAAUGGUUAAAUCAAGAAGUCAAUCAUACUUCGUUCCAAAACAAGUCUUAGAGUUAAGAUUGUGACAUUGAGUGAUAAGUAUUAAGAAGGUUUAUAACAUUCAUCAAAUGUGGAAAGUUGUGAUGUCUUGGAUAAGACAAAGACCAACUAGGACCAAUUUAUGAAGUGUUUUGAUAAAAACUACACUAACUCUUGAAUAUUUGUUUGUCAAGAAAUGUUUAUUGACAAGAGAAUCUUAUAUGUCAAGGAGUCAGUGGGAGUCUUAAUGGUCUUGAAAGGUUUCAAGAACAAAUCAAAUAAACCUUAUCGAUCAUCACUAGCACACGAGUUGAGGUUUACAACCUAUCGUGUUGACAUUAUUUUGUUUCUGUGC